GGGGGGACAGGUUUACAUGGAAGUCCUAGUCGGGUACAAGCCCAUGAGUCCUACCCGGGUACUUCUCGGGUAGUUUCUUACCGUGUCCGACUAGUUUCACUACUGUAUGAGUAGUCCUACUGCACAACGAGUAGUUACAACAGAUACAGGGCAUUGGCUAUGUCCCAUCCCGUAUCCUAGGAGAAAUAUGCCACAUGUACAGUCUCGUGUACCGGGCCUGAGAGGACCUCCUCGAGAAACAAGUAUGGACGUAGACUUCACUCAUGUUUGGCAUGCUAUUGGAUGGGAUGGUUUUGUGCCCAUUGAGGAGAAUGGUUCUCAUCUCCUCACUAUCCAGAUUUCAAGCCAAUCCUAAGGAAUGUCACUUAAUGGAUGUUAAGAGAAUUUUGAGAUAUUUAGUACAUACUCCUAACCUUGGCUUGUUGUAUGCCAAAGGCUCCACUUUCGAUAUACUUGGCUAUUCUGAUUCGGAUUAUGCCGGUUGCAAGGUAGAUGGAAAGAGUACAAUAGGAACUUCUCAAUUUCAUGGAAGGUCCCAAGUGUCUUGGAGCUCUAAGAAACAGAAUUCGGUUGCUUUGUUCACCGUGGAAGCAGAAUAUGUUGCAGUGGGUGCUUGUUGUGCCCAACUUUUAUGGAUGACUUGAGUGACUUCGGUUGUGAGUUUAGCAAGAUUCCGCUCUUGUGUGACAAUGAGAGUGCGAUCAAGCUAGCUAACAAUUCGAUGCAACACUCCCGAACAAAGUAUAUAGAUAUAAGACAUCACUUCUUACGGGAUCAUGAGGCUAAGGGAGAUACUGCUUUACAUCAUGUGAGCACCGAACGACAACUUGCCGAUAUCUUCACUAAGCCACUAGAUGAGCAAAGGUUUUGUGUCUUGAGGAGUGAACUAAAUAUCUCAGAUUCUCGUAACUUGGCUUGACUUAUUGCACAUACUUGAUUGUUUCCUAGAUAGGAAAAAUGAAUUUACUUGUGUUGAGUUGUUUUUAAAAUAUUUGGAUUUUGAUCUUUGGAUCAAAACUUGACUCUUGUGAUCAUUAUUAUGAAUUGUUGUUUGUGGCUGAUCACUAAGUGUCAAGUUGUCUCAUAUGUCUCAAGCCAUAUCUAUCAAAAUCUCCAAAUUUGUUCAAAUCUGAAAAUCUAUCUUUUGGAGAAAGUAAGCUACCAUCGGAACUUCUGAUACCAAGUCGAAACUUCCGACGUUCAUCGGAGGUAUCACCAUUGUUCCGAUCAAGGGUCUUUGGGAGGCAAAAAUAAUAUUCAUCGGAACUUCCAAUGCCGGGUCGGAACUUCCAGAUAAUCGUCGAAUCUUUCAGCAUUCUUCCGACCAAAGGUUCUCGGGUUCGAAUUAUUUUAUUAGUCGGAACUUCCGACCCCCCAUCGGAACUUCUGACAAUUCAUUCACACCUAUAUAUACCUGUUGGACAGCCCCCAAAACCCUAACUCCUCCCUUCAAACACCACCGACGCCCCACUCUCUUCUCUCUCAAACUCUUGAGGGGAUUUCAAGAAUCAACCGUGGGAUUUCAUUGCUUGGUGUUUCUUUGGAUUCUUCACUCCUUGGAAGAUCCGAUCCCCAUCAUCUUUUCUCCGAUUCGCGUGGGAAAUCUUUGAGGUAAAUCAUUUAAAAAUCCCAUCACCCGAUCUCUCAAUGUAGAAGGAGUUAGAUUAUUUCCUUUUGGGGAUAGCUUCUAGAUACAUCCUAGAACUCAUGUAUAGAAUCUUGUCAAAAUUGGUGGGCUCAAUCUCUAAUUUCAUGGAUCAUUGGCUCAGCUCAGGUCCUGUCGGAACUUCCGACACGCGCCUGAGUCGUCCAAUUUUGGUUCAUUUGAUUCCUUUCUUUCGAUCCAUCCUAAUGAUCGUCAUAUAUUCUUCAGAUGGCUCAUGAAAAGAGAGGCAAGCAGCAUGGUGCAUCUCCGGAAAGUGAAUCACCUACCUCAUCCGAUUUUGAGGCAAUCGAGGAAGCAUCACAGGUUAUCCAUCGCACAGCAAAGAGAAAAGCUUUUCCAAAAGUUCCUUUGCGCUCUCGUGGUCGUGGACGACCAAAUCCUCAAGGAACUUUGGGUCAAGGUGCUCGUCCUCACAUUAAGCGUGCUUCCGCUCCGGAUUCUCAUAUGGCAGAUGCAGGAGAGUCCCUAGAGUAUCUUGAGAGGAUUAUUAGUCAGAUGCAGCCACCUAUUAGGCAAACUGAUCCUCAGUACAAUGGGACUUGUCCAACAGAUUACACAAAGGGCAAGCAUGAUCUUUAUGCCAAGAGAUAUGAUGAUCCCUCUUGGUACGCCAAGGAGCAGCAAGGGAUGUCCGCUUUUGGAUGAACUUUCAUGCUGAUUGGUAUGACUCAGUGAUUCUUUGCAAAUCUCAUCCUACCACCAAGAUGAAGUCCAUCAACAGGGACUAUUUGAUGGAUAUUGAUUUGCCGGUGGUGCGGGAAGCUCAAGAUGCUUGUAGAAGGAUGAAUCUCACCUCAAUUAUGUCGUUCAAUUGUGAUUGGAAUGAGGAGGUCGUAGCUCAAUUCUAUGCAGCACUCUAUGUCAACUGCUCGACAAAGACCUUCCAUUGGACUAUACAAGGCAAGCCAUUUUCUGUUGAGUAUGCACAGUUUGCAAGUAUUCUAGGAUUCACUAAUGCUGAUCUCAUAAGCGAGAAGAUACAUGAGAAGGAAAAUGUGCUAGAUAAUGGAGAGCUCCACUUCAUGUAUGACAGUGCCUAUGGUGACAUUCAGUUUGGGACUAUACAUGGGUUGACACCUUACUAUAAGAUGCUCAACCAACUCUUCCGCUACACUCUGAGUCCCAAAGGAGGUGAUUCGUACAACAUCUCCAACAUGUCCAAAAAUUUGCUUGCAAGGAUGGCUCCCAAUUAAAAUGAAUUUAGUGUGUUUGACUUCAUUUGGGAAGAGAUCAUAUUUUGUUUCAGUGUCACCCAAGAAGAGCUGCCACUAUGCACCUUAUAUCUUUGCUAUGAUCAAAGAGGUGACCGGUGUGGAGAUCUUGAUUGACAAAGGCCAUCAAGUAUACAAGCCAAAAAAAGGUCACCUCCAGCAUCUUCUCAAACUUGGAGCUCAUGCACCUUGUCGCACCACUCAAGGACCAUCUCAAGCUCCAUCUAGUUCUUAUGGUCCAUCUAUUUCACAAGGUCCUUCAAGUUCUCGUGGUCCUCCUCCUCGUGCACCUAAGAAGAAAGGAAUUCUUUGUUUCAUAUCCCAAGGUCUCUUUGCUUGCUUCAAUGUGGGUCGCCACAAUGCAGAGGAGAUGUAUGCUCACAAGAAGUAUGUUGAUGACAGCUUCUAAAGAUUAAGGCUAGGCAGAAGGAGAUCAUGACCAAGAAUGAUAUACCGCAUUCUCCUCUUCGGGCUCCUAUGGACUUCCCUCCUCCUCCAACGUUCUAUAAUCCUUGGGAGGAAUAUGGCAGUUCAUCCAUGAUGUUUAGCGCCCACCAAAUCGAUGAUGAUGAAAUUGAAGAAGACUUGGACGGACGUGAGGAGAAGGAUGAAGAGGAAGAAGGGGAUGUGCCCGCAGCCAACACCCCUACGGAUGAAGAAGAGGAUGACGAUGAUGACGACGAUGAUGAGUAGUGGCUAUGGAAGGGCCUCUCCUUAUGGUGGAUGUUGGGCAUUAUCUAUCUAUCUAUCUAUCUAUCUAUCUAUCUAUCUAGUAGCUUUGAACCUUGAACUCUCGUGCUUGAGGACAUGUGAGACAUUUGUUUGUUGUUAUGUGUGGUGGUGUGCCAAGUGAGACUUUUAAAUUUGCAAGAUUUAUCUAUGCUAGUGUGGUUUUAGAACUUAAUGCUCUUGUGAUGAUCACGACUUGAUGAAAUGUCCAUUUCCACUUUGUUGUUGUGAUAUAUCUUGUCAUAUGCAUCAUGUUGAUAUUCAUCACACUUUGCACCCCACGAAUGCAAUGAUAUUGGGGGAGCUCUUUUAAUAUGUGCAAAUGGCAUUUGAGACUGUUUUUUAUUUCAUCCUAAAAAUGCACAUAUUAAGGGGGAGCUCAAUUAUAUGACUGAAUUCAAAACUGAUUUGAGAUAUUAUUUAUGAGCCUUAAUUGUGUUGUCAUAAAUAACCAAAAAGGGGAGAUUGAAAGUGCAUUUGGCCCCCUAAGUGGGUUUUGGUGCCGAUGACAUGCAUAAUUAAGGAGCUAAUGAGAUUAUCAAGUUUGGAACAGGUCAAAGUUUAAUAGAAUGAAAUAUUUGCGUGAAAAGACGUCAAUUUACUUGAUAGACGGUGUUGGAGCUUAAAAGAAGAUCUCUAUUUACUUUCUAUUUUGAAUUUGAGUAUAGGAAACACCAUACUAUUAAGAGGGAUGCAAAUAGAUAGCUUGAAGAUGUCAGAGUGCUUAUUUGAAAUACUAACCACCCAUGAGAGACACAAAUCACACACUUGCACACUUGAUUUCUCACUGACUCGGGGUGGGUUGGAAGUUCCAACCAUGGAUCGGAAGUUCCGACCCCUAUCAAAAGAUGCUCAAUAGUUCCGACACGGGGUCCUCGGCCGGCUGAUUUUAUUUGUGCUGAAAGUUCCGGCCCUGUGUCGGAAGUUCCGACAAUCACUUGACCAGCACACUAAUGGCUAUUUUUUGGGGCUUAGAUAUUUAUACCCCUUCAGCCCUCCUUUCGUGGGCUGCUGUUCUUCCCCGAGAAACACACCUCCACAAGCUUCCAAUACAUUUUCCCAAUCCCUCCAAGAGCUAAUCCUUAAGUUGAUUUGAGUUAGGGCUUGGGUGAGAGCAAGAUUGAAGUGUGAGGCUUGAGCAUUUGAGUUAGAAGGCAGCUAUGUUCAUCUCAAGAGCACUUGAAGCAUCUCCACUCUUUGAUUUGCAUUUGUUACUCUUGAAGCUUGCUUCUAGGUGGUUAGGCGUCGCCCGGUUGAGCGUCCUCUUGUGCGUGUGCGCUCCGAGAAGUUUGUAUUACCCAUCCUUUGUAGAUUUCAUAGUAAGCGACUCAAUCCUCCUUUGUGGUUGAUUAACGGAGGAAAAGGAUUAUGUAAGACCCUGCUCUUUAUGAGCUCCUCAACGGAGACGUAGCUUCCUUAGUGGGAGUGAACUUCGGGAAUAAAUCUCUUGUCUCUUGUACUUAUUGCAUAUUUCUAGUUCUUGUUAACCUAGACUUUGUUUUGUGCCGAUCUACAUUCUGUGUUGUUGUGCUUGCAAAGAUCACUUUUAGAGGCCUCCUAGCAUCAGUGGUGAACUUUUGAUUCAGCCAAGUUCUUCAAUUUUGAGUUUAAUUUUGAAUUUUGCAUGGAACUUCAUUUCGUCAGAAGUUCCGGUCCUAUGUUAGUUCUGGUCCAUUGGAACUUCCUACACAGCGUCGGAAGUUCCGACAGAUUUAAUUAUUGCCAAGAAUUUUGCAGGAAUUUUAAGUUACGCCUAUUCAACCCCCCCCCCCCCCCCCUCUAGGCAUCACUAAGAUCAUUUCACACACAUCACUUGGAGAAGAGAAGAGUAGGGGGACUCCAUCCUUUUAGUGCUACUUUGUAGAGUAGGUUAGGGCGUGUGUGGAGGGGAAGUUCAAGAGGAGAGCUAGAGUUGUCGACCUCCCUCUGCUUGUACCUCGGCGGAUACGAGCCACUUUUGAGUAAGUAUCCGGGUUCAUCUACGGUGGUGAGUACUUAUCUAAUUUAAGUUCUUGUUAUUAUUUGCUUGCGGGAUCAUUGUUCGUCCAAGAACAUUUGCUUCUAGCCUAAGGACUUCGGUCUUAAGACAGAACCUGGCCAGGGUUAGAAGUAGUGAUCGAUAGCGUAGACGUGGUGUCUAGGCUUGAAGUCGCAUUUGUUUGCUACCCUUUCCCACGGUCUGUCGGGGUAGGCGAUAGGUGGUGAUAGCCUUGUUCGUCCUUCGUAGUCCCCCACGUUCGGAUUGAGCGUAGAGCUAAUAGCUGGAUACGCUUGGUAGACCAGGUGUAAGCCGGUGCCCGAAGCAAGCGGGUAGUACCUAAACUUAUCUUUAUUAAGUAUCUCUAUCAUUAUUCAACCACACUACCAGGACCACUCUAUCUCUUCCUUUUCCUGGGUAAACUAGCUAGAGACCGUUACACCUCCGUUUCCUGAGAAUUAUACAAUACCCUGAAUACUCUCCGGGUUAAGUGCUACAGCAGUAUAUCCGUGCGCUUACGGAUUCUAUCUUUGAACGUUAAGAAAUACCAACACUCGGGAGGGAGGUGGGGGGCUGAAACAGCAAGCUGUUGGGGACAUUAAAUGUGCCGCACUGAUGUGAUACGCACCCCCCCCCCCCCCGACAGACAGGCGGGAUAGGGGAGCUGUCUACAGACCGCGGGUCCGGCGGACACACCUCUGGCAGCCGGGCUAUCAUAGCACCACAAACCUGUGGCCACGCCACCUGCGCUCCCUCGUUAGAACAAUGGUAUGGGCCGUACCCCAUACCCCACAGCUAUCAAGCGUAGGUUAAGGCAGGCACGCCAAGCUAGCGGGCCCCAUUACGAACCCACUGUACUAGGGGAAGGGCGGCGCGACCUCCCAACCCCUGCUACGGGAGACACUGCGACACGCGCAAUGAAAAAGCCCAUCCUGGCGGACCGGGCUGGCCAAAUCGCAAACAGGAUCAUGCCAUGCUUUGUCGAAGGGAUGGCAGACACGACCGAGGCUACAACAGGCUGCGCCGGUGGACAAGACAGACAAGAUUUGGCUUCGGGACAAUAUGGAGCGCGAUCCACGGGAGACCUAGGUUAGGGCACAUGUAGAACUCCUGACCUAAUUCACUAGGGUGAUGACCCCGGGGAAGAGGGCCCACUUUCUCUCACAUUUGUAGCCCGGUCCACUAAGGUGUAUGAGGUGGAGCCGGGCCUUCUCUAAAAAAACUUGAAUUCUGACACACACAAACGCACCCGCUUACAAUCGCCCUGUUGUAAGCAUCCAGCACUUGGAUACGAAGAACACGAAGAACAUCACCCACACUGGACGUAGGACGAUCGCCCGAACCAGUCUAAACCUUUGUCUCUGAGUGUUAGCCAUCGAGCAGUGGAGAAAUGCGGCGCUAAUUUACUAGCCGGUGAACGAAACACCAACACAUUACCUUUGACUUGCUCUGCAUUUUCUUUUUCUACCUUUAGAUUCUGCAUUCAUUCUAUUAGUGUGUCUUCUUCACUUUUCGUUUGUAUAUUCUUUAACUGCUGAUCUUCAAUAAUAUGGUUCUGAAUUAGGCAAUAAUAUGGACAAGAAUGAGGCAAUAAUACAUGAUUCUUUUGUAUAUAAGAGGUAAGCAGUUUUAGCAAAACUCAUAAGCAUUUCAAUUGGAUUAAUUAUGUUUUUUCACUUUUCCGUCUGGUAUAGAGUUUAUAUCUGCACAGACAUGUGAAUUCAAAAUAUAGAUAAAUGGAUCUUGUUUUGUUGGAAAAAAGAUUGUAAAUCAGGACACACCAUUUAGGAAAUAUAAGCAUUUCAAUAUUGUCAAAUUAUGCCUCUAUAUUCUUUGGUAGAAAUUUUUUGGGUUCGGUGAUCUGGCAUUUUUCUACUGAUUUCAUUUAGGAAAUAUAAGCAUUUCAAUAUUGUCAAAUUAUGCCUCUAUAUUCUUGGGUAGAAUUUCUUUUUGGGUUCGGUGAUCUGGCAUUUUUUUCUACUGUUUAGUUCCUGCGUAAUGCUUGGUGUUAUAAUAGGCUCACACAAACUAAUGAUGCAACCGAUCGAUGGUUUUUUUACUUGAAUAUAAGAUUUGUUUUGUGUUAGUGUUAGAGAGGUAAGCAGUUUUGGCAAAACUCAUAAACAUUUUAAUUGGGUUACAUAUAUGUUUUUUUUAGUUUGAUAUAGGCAUAUUAUGUCUGCAUGGAAAUAUGACUUUAAAAUAUAGACAAAUGGAUCUCGUUUUGUUAGUGAAAUGUAAGGGUUGUAGUUGUGCAAAUGAAUCAUAAGUCAUAUAGACAACUUAGGAAUUAUAAGCAUUUUAAUAUUAUCAAAUUAUACUUUUUAAGUUCCGAUUAUCAACUUUUUGUUCUGAUGAUCUACCAUUUUCUUCUACUGAUUUACUUCCUACUUGGUGCUUGGUGUUAGAGUAGGCUCACGCAAGCCGAUGAUGUAGCCAAUCCAUGCCUUCUGGUCUUUGAAGAUAUUUUUGUCCAUGUUUUAAUUUGCUCAUUAUUUUUUAAAAACUUUGCUUAAGAGGUUCCAAAAAUUAUCAAUUGUAACUUGUUGAGUUAGAUUACUAGCAUAUAAAAUGCUAGGAAUUAGGUUAUGUGGUUUUAGUUAUUUUUGCCUGCUCAUUUGUUUUAAGGUGCUCCGGAGUUCAUUAUAAUAUGCCUACAACUCCUAGCAAGAAUGCUUUUUGUUGUACGAGUAAAGUAUCAUCAAAACAGUUAGAUAGAUGGGUUAUGACGGGGGGCUAAACAUUUCGCCACUCUUGCCGGCCGGACCUAACAUGUACCGUGCUGCGCGGUUGUGUUUUUUUCUUUCUUCUGUUUUGGUUUUCAAGCUUAGCCUAAUGAGUUUAUAUAGUUCUUCCUUUUGGGAUGUCCUUCUUUUUAAUAUAAUUGGCAGCUUUACUGCCAGUUCGUUUAAAAAAAAUACACCACUUUAACUGUUCUCUAGCCUCUAGCCUCUAGCCUCUAGCCUGAUACAACUAUUUUCCUCAAACAUCUGCAAUACAAGCUUUCUCAUUGGUUUAUUUUUUCUCACUAUAUUUUGCAGGACAUGAAUGCAAAUACUACAGUUUGUAAUGGGAAGAAAAAUAUGAUGUGUUUAUUCAUCUUGGGAGUAUUUGUUCUGCAUGUGCAGUUUCUAAGUGCAUGGGCAAAUUGCUGCGUGCAAUCCAAAUAGUUAGGAGAGGGAUAACCAAAAAAUUGCUAGUCUCAGAUCUUGCUGUCCUUGUGCUGACUGCUGACGUCAGGACAACCAAACUCCUUGGUCCCUAAUCUUGCAGCUCUGGGUCAUGUGUUGUAUGAUGAAUCUUAUGCAAUUUCUAAACAAAAUUGCAUAUUAUGCCGAUACUGUUUUUCUGAUUUCGUGAUAGAGUUAUGCUUUCUAUCAGAAAAAUUGCGUGCAAAAAGGAUACCAUAGUAAUAUUCUCUUGUUUGUUUUCUAACAGUAUAACAGGGAAUAUUAGGUGCAAACCAUAUUCUCGGUGGAAACGUGAAAACCUCUUAAAAAUUAUAGUUGCAAGUAUCCAAAAUAUUUCAAAGAUGCGCAUCCAUAGUCUAUCAUUAGAUGUAUUUUGUAUCAAAAGUUGGGAUGCAAACUCAACCUAGAAAACUUUAAACAAAAAUGACAAACUCAAAGUGCAUGAGGCACUAGAAAAUAAAAUUCCUAGAAAUUUGUCUUGUAGUGCACUUGCAUAUAGAAUUUGUUAUUUUCAUUUGCAUUUUUACAAAAAUAAUUUUGCAUCACAAGUUUUGAUACAAAGUACAUCUAAUAAUGCACUAUGGAUGUGCAUGCUCGAAGUUUUUUGGGGUUUUCACGUUUCCACCUAAAAGAUGGUUUGCACCUAAUAAUUUCCCGUACAGCUAUACGGGUGCUUCUGGGCACUGCGUUCUACCCAUGACCAUGACAAUUCUUUACGCCCGCAAAAAAAAUAGUACUUUCCAGAAUAGGAAAGUGGACAGUAGCAGAUAUAUGUGAUUGUCAAAAAAGAGCUGGUCGUGCGGCUAGCCUAAUUUGCGUUCGGCCCUGCAUUAACCAUGUCCUUAUUAAUUUGGGCAGUAAAAAUAGGGGAUCAGAUAGGAUCUCAUCUGUUUGGAAGGCUUUCCGUGAUAGAAAGCGAUGAGAUGACAGUUCCGAGAGGAGGUGCAGCCGAUGAGGUGAGGGCGCAGGUCAUCGACGUUGAUCUGGUUGGCGCGGAAGGGUCGAAGCACCGGAGCAAUACGCGAGGCAGGCGACCUUGCCGAAGGUGAUGCGCUGGGCCUUGACCUUGUCGAGGGGCUCGCAGUAGUCGAGUAUGGUCUCGUCGAACCAACGCCAGGGACCCUUCUAGCGGCGGCCGCGAUCGAUGGCGAGCGCGUUGAGGACGACGGCGAGGGAGGCGAGGACGCAGCAGGCAGGUUCCGACUGGCGACUGCAUCUGGAAGCAGGAGGCGAGGCUGAAGAAGCCUUCCAUGGUGCCGCCCUCGAGGGCCUCCGCGAAAAGGCGCUUGCCGUCCGGCGAGGCGAAGUCCACCGCUGGCGGCGACGGGAGGACCCGACACCGCCGCCAUUCCAGUCCCCUAGAAGCUCGCGACAUCACUUAUCAGUUAUCAGGGGCUCUUCACAAAUACUUGGAUCGUGACUAUGGGCUAUCUGUAAAUAUACAUUACAAAAUUUGCAAAUGGACUCCUCAUUUAGAUAUAAUUGCGAACCAAACUAAGGGGCUUUAUGAAAAUACUCAAUUAGGAAUUUGCAUAAAUACCUCUAAUUUGUAUAGCAAUAUAAUCCAGUAUUUACAGAAAAUCCCUAGUUUGGAUUGCUAUUAUUAAUCGCGAUCCAACCAGGGGGUAUUUGUAAAUAUUCCGGGGCAGCAGGCUCGUCGCCGGCGACCUCCGCUUGCCUAAUCGCCAUCCAUCCCGGCGGUUCCCCGUCAAGAUUACAGCCUAGAAAGUGCCGUCUCCUCGCCAACGCACACGCCGCGGACGGAGGCGCCACCGCGGGAGAGGGCGCCGGAGCCCUCGGGGCGCGACCACGGAGGGAAUCGCGGCGAGAAGUUCGCGUUCUUGGACGACGGCAACGCGGAGUCGUCAGAGGGGCCGCUGCCGCUGCAACCGAGGAACGUGAAGAGGCUGGUGGUCCCGCCAACGUACCAGCCGUCGACGUCCGCGGCGGCGCCUAGCGCUGCGAGGAAGAAGGAGAAGAGGAGCAGAAGGGUGGACUUGGGGUCGCGAGCGGCGCCAUGGCCAAUGGUUGCCUCGCUUUCCGGACCUGAAUGGACCGCAAAGUACGCAAGAGCAUAGCGAGUGAAUUUUGUGCUGAUGCACUGAUGGCUGGUGUUGCUCUGCAUCUGCUGACUGCUGCAAUAGUGCAAUGUCAGAGGACAGUACGAGGCCUUCCGUUGUCGUGCACUGAUCUGUAGCAACCUCUAUCCAGCAUUAUUAAGUUCACAGAUUAAGGCAAUAAAAAUAAAAUGGAUUUCUUCAUAAUCCAUUUUCUUACCUGUAAGAUGCUGCCGAGAACUAGUUCUUCAGGAUCAUUGCUUUGGUUUUGCCUGUCCAAUUAUUUCUACCAGGCUGUGUCACUCCCAAUAAGAUACACUUUUGCACCUGAAAGUAUGUGUACAUAACGUUUUGUUGUUACUCCAUUAGUCAGAUGGUCCUCGGUUGCUUGUUAGGUUUCCAUUUGUGCAGAAACUGCUCUUUUUAAAAAAAAGAAAAAAAACGACCCCGUCCAGAAGAAGGUAAAGGCUGCAGUGAUCUUUGCAUCUAUUUCAGCAGUGAGGUAAUCACUACCCAGAACAGUUUGGAUACUGAAUGCCAUAUCUACCGCAUCAUAAGAAAGAAAGAAAACGCAUUAGUGGCAUUCAGGCAUCAUCUGCUUUGCCAACAGGAAUGGGCACUGCUCUGUAUAUUCAGUUCUCGAUAAAGAUGGAUCAGCUCACAGUAUCCACGUUCUAAAUGACAAAAGUCAAAGCUAUAGUUACCGUGUAGAACUCGACUGAUCAGGAGACGCCAUAAACAUCACCAAAAGCGCAAUUCAGGUGACACCGCAACAUGUAUAACGUUUAUGCAAUACUGUUACAAAAUUGUAGCUUGCAUUCAGGAACUGAUUAUAAAAAAAUUCAUACCAUUAACUGUCUCUGCAUGUUUCGUUCAGAUCACUGUUCAAAAUGAUACUAAGUAGUAGCAGUUGCGUAACAUCAGUACAAAUUCAACCAGGCCGUUACAUAUUUAACACAUCAGUUCAUGACGCUGAGUAAGGUUACUCCAUGCCUAGGUAGCAAAAUAAUUAGCAGUCCAGACAAAGCCUGGUAAGGUUACAUGAUCAGUUCCUAGUCACCAGCAAGGUUGCUACUUCCAACUGAAGCAGAUCUUGGCCAAAUAAGUACGAGAUAACUUAAUGGGAACCUGUGCAAACAAAAACGAAAAUAUUAAGUGAUUGGAUCAUUGGAGCACAAAAGGGAUUCUACACAUAGGUAAGUGUGCAUUUGCAUCAAAAUGUGGUGAGCACAAAUUGACAGAGCUAUAAGCAACUAGGAGGAAUAAUGAGGUAAAAUAUUAAUAAAUCCAAGCGAGCUUCCAAAAAUUCUUUAGGUACAUCAGCAAGUUUCUGUCCCUUCUGUUGGUAAUAAAUAAAUUUUGACUAGAAAACAUAACUCCUGUCCUGGCGUACCUUCCACUCAUGCAUUUCUGAACACCUUCAGCAGUGGCAAUGCAGCACUACAAAACAUCCUUUUGGGGUGAUGGUUACUAAAUCGAUGAGUCCUUCCCAGCAGACCAAGGUUGGGAUUCAGAAUCCGUGAAGAUCCAAGGCCCAGUGAUUUACCCCAAGAUUUUUCAAGCCUUCCGAGAGUGCGUAAAUCAUCUAAUUGACCACCUUACAAGGUGAUCUGGCUCUCAGAACUGAUCUCCGAUAUGGGAAAAAACUUCUCCGUGUGUAUUCGAGUUCCCAUCCUCUAGGUGUCCUGUUUCUCACAACCUGUAUCAAAGUUCACAAAAAAUCCAAAUGUCAGAAAUCACAAACCAAAACGUUCAGAAUUAGCAGCCAGGAAGCUAAAGCUUGGUAUAUUAGAGUGGGAUAUCAUGGUAUAAUUUAAGCAACUCAUAAUAUUCUUCUAGAGUAGGAUAUCAUGUAACUAAAGUCCACUGCUCUCUCAAUCCCCUUUUCCAAGGACUGCUUUGGCUACCACAAAGAUUAAGAAAGUUCUGAAUUUGAGAAUUCACAAAAUAAAGAGUUCAAGUGCUCUAAAUAGAUAGGCUGGUCUGUGUGAGUGUACAUGCACAAUUGCAUAAGAUAAUAUAUAUAAAUUAGUUGCAACUUGCAACUGUUAGUAAUUUUGGUAGGCUAGAAUGCUAGAUAUUAUGUAUCACGGACUUACCAUAUGUAUUGGGGAGGCGUCUUGCCCCUAAGUCUCUGUACUCUAUUAAUACCCCCUGAGAGGCCAAUUGCAAAUAAUCUCACGCAAUAUGUCCUUCCCACAGCAACUACAAAGAACUAGCAUUAAAUCUAGAAGCACGCCUCUAAACAGAACCUUCCCUAAGAUAUAUGCUAUUUAAAAUCCCGAAUCAUUUGGCAGUGAAAGAGCCACAGGUUUAAUGUAGCUCUAGAUAUAAGACAGUUGGGCAUUUUGCCCAUUCUGCUUUCAUUUAUCGAGUUGUCAGUUCAACAAGGUUUGUUUCAUAGUCUAGAGGCUUAGCUUGGAGUCAGUCCCUUGGAAGCAAAAGAAAACCAAAUCUGUUAGACUAAACCAGGACAUAGACAAACAUUCAUUUUCAUUUUCCGAUCCAAAUUGGUCUAGAAAGUUUUUUUCUUUAAAAAAAAGACCCCUUGUCAGACUGACUACAUGACCAUCUGCAGUAAUUUGAAAUCUGAAAAUACAUAAAGCUUAUGAGUUUAAAUGACAGAAACAAAGAUCUGGUUGGGUUUCUUUGGUGAAAAAAAGAAACAUAUACUUUGAAACAAAACAAAAACACAAAUGCCUAAUAAAGUGGAACUGACUAUUAUUCACUAACAUGUGUGCAAAUACAUUAAGCUGCUCUCAACCACCUAUCAUCUAGAGACAAUCUUCAAACAUUAUGACCAUAGCAAGCAACACAUGCUUUGCUAUAAGCUCUAGAGAUUAGCUUAGUACACAAUUUCCUCUGUUCCACUACUAUUUCCUCACAAAAAGAGACUUAAUUCACCAGCAACCAAAAGGAUGGUAAAAUCGGUAAGAACACAAAAAUCAUGCAAGUUAUUAAACAGCAACAGUUUCAGUAACAAAGACCCGACCCUAGUUUUUGGAUUAUAUUUCGCUGUAGAUGAACUGGACACCACCAUUUAGCUAAUCAGUAACAAAGACCCGACCCUAGUUUUUUUCAUACAGGUAAAGACAAUUACCAAAAUUGCGGAAUUUUUGGAGAAUGUCAUGGAAGAUUCCAGUUCCCCAACAUUUACUUAUAAUGACAGAAAGCAACCAAAAAGAGGGGAUAUCAACUUUUCCAUGACUAAAACCAUUACCUUUUUUACUGAAUGUUGACAACUUGCUUCAACUGCAAACAUGUCCCCUGCUUUUCAUCACAGAACAAAUGGGGCUCAUUUUCUCAAAGUUUGAAAGAGUUAUUUCAAUGAGCACAAGCACUAACAUACCAUGGUUGUUAGGUAACUCCUUUUGGGACAAUACAUUCUUAUAGGGGCAGCUUCAAGAACAAGUAGAAUAAAGAAAUGAACAAGCAUAUUGAUGGUGUAGUUGUAUGUAAAAUUAUAAUCAUUGAAGCAAAGCAAAGGGGAGUAAAAGUAGUACAGCUUUCCAACCUCGAUGAUUUCUCCAGGACAAAAACCACUAUUUUUCAGAAUAGAUGAGACUCGUUCAUGUACCUCAUUAUGGGAUACAUGCAUGUUAUGGAGCAUCUGCAUGCCAUAUUUAACAUUUUGAGACAUGAGUGACAAUGUUUUUGUGAUGGGUCAGUGGGUGACGUGAUGGUUUUGAUGAUGAUGCAGUGAUGAGUCAAUUGAUAAGACUGUAACAAAACACUAUAACAUAUGCAAAAGAAUAACUUGCAAAAGUUUUCAGAUCAAGGAAAUCAUAUUGAACACAUGUACAUUAGUUUAACAAAACUUUUUAACUAUAUAGCAUGUCAUAACAAGCCCUAAAAAUAUACUGAGUGCCGAGGUUCUUGUGAAAUAAUGGGGGCGUAACUUAGGGGGUGUAAGUACCACAAAACAUAUAAAGUUAUAUUAUGUUAUAUAUUUGAAAUAGUCAAAGUUCUAACACGAACUGCCGAGGUUCUUGUGAAAUAAUGGGGGCGUAACUUAGGGGGUGUAAGUACCACAAAACAUAUAAAGUUAUAUUAUGCUAUAUAUUUGAAAUAGUCAAAGUUCUAACACAAACCUUAACAUCACUAGCAAUUGCCAAACACGGUUACAACAGUUCUAUAUAUCUUGACAUGUUCACUAGAAACUAAAUUUUUCCGUACUGAAGAUGAAGCAUUGAUGCCAGCUGUGUUUUAUAUUGAGUAAAAUGCUCUAAGUUCUUUUAACUUUAGACUACUUAAGUAAUUGGUGACAACUGCCCUGAAGGCUAAAUUCUCUGGAUUCUUAGUGAAACUAGUGGAGAUGGGUUUUAGCUUCCAAGCACUCAGAUCGAUUAAGCAGUUAAGUCUAAUCAUGAAGACAGACAUACAGUCUCCCUUUUGGUACAACUUAAGAUUCUGGUGGCAUUAGCAUUAACCUGAAGCUGAAAUUCCAUCAAGAGGGCCUAAAUAAACCAGUUUAUGCAAGUUAUAGCUAUUCCAUUCAAACCAUAAAUAAAAAAGUUUAUGGAAGUUAUAGCUAUCCCAUUCAAACCAGUUUUAUGGUAUCUUCCAAACUAAUCUAAAAUCAAUGCCUAAACCUAUAAGAGUGUAGAGAUGUUUCGUUCUUUUUUUCACGAAUACGCACGAGAGCUGUGCUUCUUUAUAUUAAGAAGAAGAAAAUGGUCCAAUUACAAACCGUUCGACGUUCCUGGUAAGUUUUUCAGUAGAUAUUUUGUUCUUUAUCCCCAGAUUUAAGAAGUUCCAGCAUUUAAUCAGGUUAAUGAAGGAACAACAAAUAGAAGGUGGAACACGUUCUUAAGCUCAGGGAAGGAUAUGUCUGAGGCUUUGAGUCAUGUUUUCCUAAAAAGUCUGUGCUUGCUAUAUUACUGCAAAGUACACACUUAGCAAAAAGACUAGAAUUGUAACUACAGCUGUAAACAAUUCAAUACCUCAGGAUGUGACUGAAUAUAUGUAUCAAGGACUCAACCGGCUUUGAGAACUGCACGAACAAGAAGUAAUGCAGCAGAAGUAAGCCUUUUCUUAAUCUCCAGCUCCUUAUUUUUCUUUCUGUUUUGACCUAUCUGCACCACCAAGCUAAUUUUGUGGGUUAGAAUACGAUUUAUGAUUAUAGAAAACCCAUCUGGCCUGCCGUUGCCAUUUUUCUUGCGGGAUGACUUAAUAGAAAAACCAUCUGGCUUGCUGUUGCCCUUUUUCUUGCAGGGUGCCCCCCCCCCCCCCCCCCCCCGGGGCCCCCGCGAGCUGCCAAGAGCAAAACUGCAGUCUGAACAAGUUUUCCAUCCUUUUUGUAGUUCCAGAGCUCAUCAACAAGAUUAUCAGUAUUCUCCGCAAGCAGUCUAGUCGUAUCCAAGAAGAUUUUCUGGAAAGACAACCAAAGGAACAAAAUACCAGUGUUUCUAGAAUUCAUAUACCAGCACAUAGUGCUGAUUAACUUCAAACAAUAUUGCCGCAUCUGAGUAAAACAAAAUCAAAUAUUAAAAUUUGCGACGUCUGCUGGAAUUUGCUAACUCCUCAGCUAAUAAAAAAUGUGUCUCGACACUUGGACACAUACAAAAAAUGACACGUGUGUAUUCAAUAAGUGGAUAUGUAAGAAUGUUCAAUACUUAGGCUGAGGCAUUAGUGGUUUGAGACAAGAGCUCAAUAACUUUUAGAGUUAAUUGCAUAAUGCUCCUUACAAAGGCACCAUGGUUUCAGAAAACCCCAUACAAAGCAUGCUAUGUCACUUCAUCCACAUAUAAACAACUAAAUUCUUCAAUUUGCCCCAUCCCUAGAUCUAAUCCCCCAAAGUUCUUAUACCCACUUUAUUGGAUCGUGAGAAUGCUAAACAAACACAAAUUCCAGGUCUUAUUAGUCAGCUGCACACAAGUAACAACUGGCAUGCCAUUAUUACAUGACCAUGAAAACAUUUAAAAUUGUGCACUAGUCCAAAAUGAUGGCAUCUAGUACCCCAGUUGCCCACUAAACAACUAAAAUUGUCUCACAGGACCUAAGUAAGGAAAGGGAAACUUGAUGCCAUGUCCAUCCACCAUUGCCAACACUAUAAAAUGGAGUAAGAGGGCAUAAGGAGGCGGAGGGAGUGUUAGAGAUAAAGGUGUAAGGUGGGGCAAGUGAAACAAUUUUGCAUGUAUAUGCAGGGUCAAAUGCCACAGCAUGCUUUACACGGCUUUUUUUUAUAUAAUAGGAUCUUCAAAUAGGAUGAAAUGCAAUUCACAGUAUUGUGUUAUGAUGCCAAAGUAGCAAUUUGGGUAAGGACGGAUGUGACGCACCAUCUCAGGUAGGCAUAGAAUAUGGAUGAGCUUGCAGAUACAGUUUAGAUUUGCCUGACUGCCUUCCAGAUCCUCCUGAUUCGGAAAUGCAUUUUCCUCCAGAUACUUAUGCAUGCAAGUGUUCUCAACUGCAACAUGGAGUGGGAGUAGGUCCUCAAUGACUCGAAUUCCUGCAGUGCGUAGAUUUGCCAAUGCACCAUAGCUGAAGAGAAACUUGACCAUAUCAACAGAAAACAUUUCAGCAGCUUGGUGGAGGGGGAAAUAUCCAUAGCUGUUCAUGCAGUUGGGGUUGGCACGGCACCCAGAAAGCUCAGGUGCCUUGCCAUCCAAGGGAACUUUAGCACAUCGCAAAGCAUUUUGCUUGACCAUCUGGGUGAAGGUUAGUAGGGUAAUGAUAAAACCCCAUUUCAUGCAGCCCCCCACUUGACAGAAUAAGCGAAGAAAGCGCCGCACGCCAUCUUUUUCCAGUAUGGGAAACAAGCGGGGAAGUUUAUGAUAGAAGGCAUCAUCCACUUCCUGGAUUGACAAAUUCACAAUUGAAAAGGGUAGAAGACAGUCAAUUAUCUAUUACAAGAUAUAACAAAAUAAACAAAGUCUUCCUCUAACCAUCACAUGGCUACAAAGCAGAAAAGCCGAAAUACCCGAAAGAUAAAUACUUCGAAUUCUAUAAAUGAAGAUAGAAAGGAGUACGGUCUGGAAUGAUUAUGUUGGCUCUUCUUGAGGUAGCAAUAAUUUCCUUUAUUUCAUCAUAAUACUAAGAGAGAAAAUGUGCCAACAGCCACGGCUAAGGAAAGAAACACAAAAAAGAGGAAUACCAUAGGUGUUGUUAGUUAAUCUACCUCAUCGAUCAACUGAGCAUUAGGCCUGCUAAUGGGGCUAAACCCACCCCACCCUAAUACUUAUGAAAAUCAAAUGGCAACCCACCCCGCCUCUAAAGCUCAACUAAAUAACCCACCCCGCCUGUCGGUACAUACAGAUAGGGGUAUCUCCUGCUAGGGUGUCCAGGCCCUUGGCUUCUCAUAAUCCAUGCUCCCCCUCGUCUCUGGGACACGUGGCAUACGACCUCCGGGCCUGACAGCUGGGGCCGCGGUCUCCGGACCCUCCCCCGAGCUCUGUGAGGUCCGGGUCUACUGCACACCUAGACGGACGGGAGAGCCCUCGGGUAGCCCCUACGGACCCGGUCUCCCCUGGGAGGUCCGGGGCCGCCACGUGUGAUGGCCGAACCAUCACAGGCCAGCCCGCUCCGACCGGCCUCGGGGGCCCCGGACCCCCCUUCCCCCGGGAAGCGGUCCGGUGCCACCAUGUGCUGCCCAGCGGGAGGAGUGGGGCUGGCCCCGCCGCGUGCCUGCGGCCCCUUGCGGGUCGCCUCUCACCUACCAGCAUUUAAUGCGGUAGCUGGGUCAGGCGCGCCAAAGUCAAAAGGUGCGGCCUGCCUCUGACACACGGGGCAGGUAAGCUGACACCACGGUAAGCCCGCCUGAUCUGAAGGCGGCGCGUCGUAUCACCGCUCACAGUGCGCGGACUGUGUACAGUCCCGUCACGGUGCUGUGCGCGUGAUGAUGGCCUGUAAUAGGCGAGCCAAGGCGUGCGCUGUAACAGUGCACGCGCGACGGGUCAGCGCUGCUUCACCGCCUGACGGGAGGUCCCAUCCCAACAGUGACAGCACGGCUUCACUGUUGUGCAGCGCUGACGCCGGACACUGUGCAAGACAAAGCUGUACAUGGCCAUAUCCUGGCUGUAGAUACGCACAUCAACUUCUCGAUUGAGAGGACUACGGAGAGGAACUGGAGAUGAAGAUCUCUAUAUCUCUCAUAGAACAGCUCCUGCAGGCCGGACCCACAUGUCGGGGUCCCGCACAGUGUAAGCACUCCCCUUGAACUAUAAAAGGGAGAGUGUACUCGUUAGAAGAUAGGUCCCAAGUUCCAGGUUGCACACACGCAAGCUUAUGCUGCUCUCUAUUCAGGCCCACGCAGCCAAUACAACACCAAAGUGGACGUAGGGUAUUACGCUCCGGCGGCCCGAACCACUCUAAAUCUUCGUGUCCUUCCUGCGUUCAUCUGUCCACCGAUCGAGCGCCCCUAAGUCUCCUCCAAACCCAUCCUUAACUAGGAUUAGGCGGGUGCUUUCCGCCACCCGGCUGGAGAUUUCCUCCGACAUUUGGCGCGCCAGGUAGGGGGUUUAGGUUUGGUUUGCGCUCGGUCGACCUUCACGACCCCAAUGGCGCAGGAAAACGGUCACCAUGACCUCCUGAUCGGUGAAGAAGUGGCGUCGACGGCGCCACACGUCUUGCGCCAUCCCGUUUCCAGGGUGGCUCCGCGUGCUGCUCCACCAUUCGCAGCGGAGCGGGCCUCAGUGGCCCAAUCGGUGCUCCCACCGAGCGGGCCCCUCAUGGCAGCCAGGGAGUUGCUCCACAACCCCCCUGGCGAGGCGGCGUCGCCAGACGCGCACAGACAAUGGCGUGACGACGUCGACCGCCUCCUCAACCUGGCACAGGCUUCCCCAGGCUCAGCGGGGGGUCUGUAUCCAGGCAGCGCCGUCGCCAGGGCGGCGCCUCCGGUUCUGUGCACUCACCAUCAGUGAGGAGUGCGCGGACUGAGGAACUCCGGGCAGAGCUCAACCGCAGGCAUGCGGGAGAGGAUGCUAGGAUCUCCAUCGAGCGAGCACGCAACCGACGGCUCAACAUUGAGGGUCGGGACCUUGCGCCUGAGCUCGAUGCGGCUGCGGCCAGGCCGCAAGGACUCGCCAGGGCGCCGGUAUCGGGCGUGGGCUGCGCAGCGCUCGCAGACCACCUUCGUGCGGUCGCCUGGCCGUCCAAGUUCCAGCCUCACCUGCCGGAAAAAUAUGACGGGUCCUCCAACCCGUCAGAGUUCCUGCAGGUCUACAUCACCGCCAUCACGGCGGCUGGGGGUAAUGAAGCCGUCAUGGCAAGUUACUUUCAUGUAGCCUUGACCGGGCCGGCCCGGACCUGGCUCAUGAACCUUACCCCGGGAUCCAUCCAGUCCUGGGGUGAACUCUGCGCACAGUUCACGGCGAACUUCGCCAGUGCGUACCAGCAGCAUGGCGUGGAAGCCCACCUCCACACCGUGAGGCAACAACCCGGGGAAACCCUCCGGGCCUUCAUCUCCCGCUUCACUAAGGUACGUGGAACCAUCCCACGUAUCUCCGAUGCAUCUAUUAUCACGGCUUUCCGACAGGGGGUCCGAGACGAGAAGAUGCUAGAGAAGCUGGCGACCCACCAGGUGGAAGCCGUCACCACCCUGUUCGCUCUGGCGGACAAAUGCGCCCGAGCUGCAGAAGGCCGUGCAUGGCACUCUGCAACUCAGGCAGGACCUGCUCAAACGAGCGGGCCCAGUGUCGCUGCCCCUGGCAGCGGCAAGAAGAAGAACAAGAAGAGCCGUGGCUUUGACAAGUCACGGAUCGGGGGUCCGGCCGUUGCGGCUGCAACGACCGGGGGCCAAAACUCCCGUGGCAAGCGCCCACGACAGCAGCGCACCGACCCCGGGUCGUGCCCUGUUCAUCCUGGGGCUCGCCACAGCGCCGCUGAGUGCCGCGAGAUCCAGAAGCUCGCGGAACACCUCAGCAAGAGGCGUGACCAAGCUGCCAAGGAAGGCUCCUCCCCUCCGCGGCGGUCCGGCAAGGAGAAGGCCUCCGAUGCCGACGCUGCUGCAACUGAGAGGGAGUUGGGGUAUCAAACCCCCAAUAAAGACCUCAAGGGACUGUUCCAACAGUCCGACUCCGAGUCCGGCGGGGACGAGCGCCGCAAAAAGCUGUACGUUAUGUACGGUGGCAGUACGGAGCUCGUCUCCCGACGGGACGUCAAGGCCCUUCGCCGGGAGGUCCUCUCGGUGAAACCAGGGGUGCCGAGGGCGGCGCCCCACCAGCGGUGGAAGGGCACCACCAUCUCCUUUGGGCCAUCCGACUGCCCAGAGAACAUGGCGGGUGCAGGAGUGCUGCCGCUCAUCACGGCACCCACCAUUGCCAAUAUUCGCCUUCACCAUGUGCUGAUCGACGGAGGCGCCGGCCUCAGCGUCAUCAGCUAUGCGGCGUUCAAGCACCUGCAGAUCCCGGAGUCCAAGCUGGCUCCAUCACGCCCAUUCUCAGGAGUGGGCCCGGAUCCCGUGUACCCGGUAGGGACCAUCACCUUACCGGUUACAUUCGGACGGAGGACAACUUCCGUACCGAGAACGUGCAGUUCGAGGUCGCGGAAGUUAACCUCCCCUUCAACGCCAUCAUCGGCAGACCGGCCCUGUACCGGUUCAUGGCCGUAGCCCACUACGGGUACCUGGUCCUGAAGAUGCCCUCUCCGGCGGGCGUCCUCACCGUCCAGAGCGAUCGGGCCGCUGCUGUUAUAGCGGUCGAAAAGCUCCAUGCGCCGGCUACGGGGCUUGCCCCUGUAGCUGGCGCCCAGGGGUCCGACCCCUCGACCUCACGUGCCAAGGCCCUGGCCAAGGCACCAAAGGUCCGUCCGUCCGACACGAACGAUGUUCCCGUGAAGACCGUCCAGGUCGGAGCGGAGACCUCCCAGACCACCCGCAUCGGUGGCAACCUGGGGGAGAAAUAGGAAAGCGCGCUCAUCGCCUUCCUCCGGGCAAAUGUUGACGUGUUCGCCUGGGAACCGUCACAGAUGCCCGGGAUCCCUAGGGAGGUGAUUGAGCAUCAUCUGAAGAUCCACCCCGACGCCAGGCCGGUCCGGCAGAAGCCACGCAAGCAGUCCAUCGAGCGGCAAAACUUCAUCCGUGAAGAGGUCCGCAAGAUGCUGCAGGCUGGCUUCAUCGAGGAGGUCUACCAUCCUGUAUGGUUGGCCAACCCGGUUGUGGUCCCAAAGGCCAACGGGAAGCUUCGGAUGUGCAUCGACUACACCAAUCUAAACAAGGCAUGUCCAAAAGACCCUUAUCCACUUCCGCGUAUAGACCAGAUUGUAGACUCCACCUCCGGGUGUAAUUUGCUGUCCUUCAUAGAUGCCUAUUCUGGUUUCCACCAAAUCAAGAUGGCUUGUGAUGAUAGGAAGCAUACAGCUUUUGUAACAGUGGAUGGUCUUUAUUGUUAUAUAGUGAUGCCUUAUGGAUUACUUAAUGCUCUACCCACCUUUGCUCGUGCAAUGAACAUCACUCUAGGUGAUUUGGUUAGAGAAAUAGUCGAGGUGUAUGUUGAUGACAUCGUUGUCAAGACUAGAGAGUCGAAUUCCCUCCUAGAAAACUUAGCUCAAGUCUUCGACAAGUUACGGGCGACCUCCACCAAGCUUAACCCCGAGAAGUGCGUCUUCGGCGUAUCGGCGGGAAAGCUCCUUGGUUUCCUGGUCUCCCACCGGGGGAUCGAAGCCAACCCAGAUAAGGUCCGGGCGAUCGAAGCAAUGAGGCCCCCUGCGCGCCUCAAAGAUCUACAGAGGUUGACGGGGUCCCUUGCAGCCCUCAGCCGUUUCAUUUCGAGGCUGGCAGAGAGGGCGCUUCCCUUCUUCAAGUUGAUGAGGGGGUCCGGCCCAUUUGUAUGGACCGAAGAGGCAGAACGUGCCUUCCAAGAGAUGAAGCAGUACCUUACUUCCUUGCCGGCCCUGGUCGCACCGGACCCAGGCGAGACACUGUUUCUUUAUCUUGCAGCAACGACCGAAAUGAUCAGCAUGGUGCUGGUCACCGAGAGGUCCGAGUCUCCCUUGCAGGGGGCCCCUGUGGACCCCCCUGCAGGAGAAGGAGAUCCGGCCUCCUCCACUCCAUCGACCGACCCUACUUCGGGGGGUCCGGCCGGGUUCCGACCCGGAGAAGUGCCAAGCAGCUUGGGGCCCGACGGGACCCCAGCUCAAGAUGAAGGAUCCAGUCCACUUGGCAGGAUCAGGACCAUCCAGAAGCCGGUCUACUACGUCAGCGAGGUCCUUCAUGAGGCAAAGGCCAGGUACCCUGAGACGCAUAAGCUCCUUUACGCUAUACUUGUUGCGUCCAGGAAGCUUCGCCACUACUUUCAGGCACACAAGAUUGUGGUGGUGACCUCCUACCCAUUGAGGGCUAUCCUCCACAACUCUAACGCCACGGGCAACAUCGCCAAGUGGGCAGCAGAGCUCGCUGGCUUUCAGCUCGACUUCCAGCCGCGUCACGCCAUCAAGAGCCAGAUCCUUGCUGACUUCAUCGCGGAAUGGACGCCCGCACCAAGCGCCAUCGGGGGUCCGGACCAAGGGACGGACCCCCCACAUCCAGAGGUCAGGGCUCCGGCCUUCACCGGACCUCACUGGACCCUCUUCUUUGACGGGUCCGCCCGUAGCAAGAGGGCCGGUGCGGGCGUGGUCCUCAUCGACCCACGCGGCGAGCAGUUGAAGUACAUGGUGCACCUCGAUUUUGAGGCCACCAACAACAUGGCGGAGUAUGAGGCCUUGAUCUUUGGUCUCAUGGCGGCUCUGUCCCUGGGGUCCGGGAGCUCCUGGUCAAAGGGGACUCCCAGCUCAUCAUCAGGCAGGUCCGGGGGAGUGUUGCUGCAACAACCCCCAGCUCGCAGCCUACCUCAUUCAUGUGAAGAGGCUCGAGAAGGAUUUCGAUGUGCUGGAACUGCAACACGUUCCACGUGAAGGCAACACAGCAGCUGAUGCGCUCUCCGCGAGCGCAUCGACUCAGGCACCCGUGCCGGAGGGCGUCUUCCAAAGGCGUCUGCUGAAGCCUUCCGCCCAGCCUGCCGACCUGGGCGAUGGGGGUCGGACUAGCACCUCGAAGCUAGCGAUCCCGGCGGCGCUCCAUCCGUGCUGCCCGCCAAGGGUCGUGUGUUCCCUUGAGGGGCCCGAAGACCUCAGGGAGCCACGCCCAGUUUCUCAGGAAGGUCCCGACGCAUGGAUCUCUAAGGUCCGUGACUACCUGAAAGAUAAUUACCUUCCUGAAGAUCAGGCAUCUGCUGAGCGCAUUGUCCGGAUGGCUAAGCGAUACACGGUGGUAGAAGGGGAUCUCUACCGCCGUGGCGCCAACGGCGUCCUCAUGCGGUGCAUCACCCAGGAAGAGGCCGUGACCUGCUCGCGGAGAUCCAUGGAGGCGAGUGCGGAAGUCAUUCUUCAUCCCGCACGCUGGUUGGUAAAGCUUUCCGGCAUGGCUUUUACUGGCCGACAGCGCUCCAGGAUGCAGCUGAGUUGGUAAGGUCCUGCAAAGCGUGUCAGUUCCACACAAAGCAGAUACACACUCCAGCUCAGGCCCUGCAGAUGAUUCCUCCCUCCUGGCCCUUUGCGGUAUGGGGGUUGGAUAUCUUGGGACCUUUCCCUAGGGCCGUCGGCGGGUACCGGUACCUCUACGUCGCCGUUGACAAGUUCACCAAGUGGCCGGAGGCAACCCCAGUGGUCAACAUUACCAAGGCGUCAGCAACUGCUUUUCUCAGGUCAAUUGUGUGCCGGUUCGGGGUCCCGAACCGGGUCAUCACCGACAAUGGGACCCAGUUCACGAGCCAGUACUUCCAGGAGUACUGUGAGGAUAUGGGCAUCCAGCUCUGUUUCGCCUCAGUGGCGCAUCCCAGGAGCAAUGGCCAAGUUGAGCGGGCCAAUGCCGAAAUCCUCAGAGGGCUCAAGAUCCGGACCUACUGUGACCUUGAGAAGCAUGGCGCAAGGUGGAUUGAAGAGCUUCCAAGCGUGUUAUGGGGGAACCGGACCACACCUAGCCGGGCAACAGGGGAAACCCCUUUCUUCUUGGUUUACGGGGCCGAAGCAUGCCUUCCCCCGGAGAUCACCAUGGGCUCUCUACGAGUUCGGUCUUUUGAUGAGGAAAUGCAGGGACAGGAGCGUCGCUAAGAUGUGGACCUCGUCGACGAGCGCAGAUGGCGAGCAGCAGUCCGAAACGCACGGUAUAACCAAGCGCUCCGGCGCUACCACCAACGGUUCGUGCGUAGUAGGGAGCUCCGGGUCGGGGACCUAGUCCUGAGGCGGAUUCUGAACCGAGAGGGCAUGCACAAGCUCUCCCCCAGCUGGGAGGGGCCCUUCAAGGUGACAAAGGUGUGCCGACCCGGAUCUGUUCGUUUGGCUGCGGAGGAUGGAAUGCAACUGCCCAAUCCGUGGAACAUUGAGCACCUCCGUAAGUUCUAUCCCUAGGACCCCAUUGUGUGGGAAUUUUCCCUUUGUAAUUGGUAGCGUCAACGUGCGGACCAGGGCGGUGGAGGUCCGCCCUCGUAAACCCGGCCCCUGGCGUACAUCGCACAACUCUUCUGUACCAAUUCGUUAAGGGAAAAUUUGCUCUCAAAUGCGUCCUUGAAGUCUAUACAAUUCUACAUUUUUUCGCUUCUUGAUUACGCUAACCCCUCACAUGUUUUCCGCGUCUGUGUCAUGACCAAGGCCCUUCUUAAGUUGCGUAGCUACGUCCCUGCCCCGGGCCUCUGUUUCAAAGGAAAAAAGGAACCGGACCCCUGUUGACUGGUUUCAGGGAAACGCGCUCGCCCUUUGCUGGGGUCCAGGGUUGUGUAGCCGCUUAGCCUGGUUCCGUACCCUAAGCCUACACGCCUUGCCCUCCUAGGAUGAGCGCCGUUGCACCUCGAACCAUGUACCGGGGGCCGGGACCCCUUUUAGCCCUUAAACAUGGGUCCUAGAGCUCUGACUCGCUACGCGACUUAGGAGGCCUCUGCUGGCCAGUCCGGGAACCUGUGGGGACGUCUCCUAAACGUCGAUCCUAAGUUAUGUGCAGGACCUCGGUUCUAUGGCAGCUAGUCCCAACUUAUCGCGACUACCUCCCAGGGGGCCAGGGGACCUCGGUGUACUCGAGAACACUUUCCGGACCGACAACCAGGAAAACAGCUAAGUUUUUCAAAAAAGUAGACGCACGAAAUGUUUAAAUGCAUCACUGAUAAUAUGCACAACAUUACGAAGUUAUUUUACAAUAACAAAAAUUAUAUUACAAAAGAAAUAACAAAAAGAUACUAGCACUACUGCUUUGGUGGUCCGGAAGCGCUCCCACUCUCUGCAGGUUCGGGACGUCGCCGGAGGCGGGCCGCGACCAGGUCCACUGCCUCCUGGACUCCUUCCCGUGCAGCGGCUGCCGUUGCCCGGAGGGGUCCGACCAGGACGGGAGUCAGCUGGACGGCAGGAUCAUGGCUCCGGAAGCUGGUGAGGAUGUACUCCGCCAUCUCCCGGGCAACUAUUCGUCCCUCUGCCUCCAGGAGGUCCUGUAGGCCGGCCUCCGCGUUUUGUAGCCGCCUGGCGGUGGAGUCCAGCAGCUGGAGUGCGGCGCCGUAUGGUGAAGGGGCCUCCGGCACCCAGAUGGGGUUGGCCCCGAGCGCCUCUAGCAGAGGAUUCACUGCGCCAACCCAUCUUGUUAAUCGGUUGGCGCCGGCGUGCUGCUCUGCCAGGAGCUCCUCCACCUUGGCCUCCCUCUCCUGGAGCGUCGCCUCGCGCUCCUGGAGCCUCCGGUACCCGGCUGCCAGCUCCUCCUCCACGGCCUCUUCCCGCUUCUGGAGCUCCUGCAGCCGGGCCACCUCCUCUGCCUCUCGGGCGGCCAGCUCUUCUUCUUUCUUCGCUGCCGCCACCACCUGUUCUGCGAGGGUGGCAUGUUGCACCUCGGCCGUCGCAAACGCCUCCCUCGCCCCGUUCGCCAGCUCCCGGGCGGCCCGCUCCCUGGCCGUCGCUGCCUCCUUCAGCUUCUCCGCGACGAUCUGCGCCUCGAGGGCCUCCUUUUCCCGCCGGUUGGCCGCUUUCUCCCGCUAGAGCGCCGCUGCCUCUCGGUCGCGCGCUUCCUCCAGCCCCUCCCGCAGGAGCUCGCGCUCCAACUCGAGCUUGGCGCGCUCCUUGGCGUAGCGGGUGGAGACGGUGUUGAUGCGGUCCCCCAGGCGGACCUCCCAGUCGGAGAGCCGCUGGCGCUCCGUCUCCAGCUUCUCCCACUCCCGGCGCAUGCCAGCCUCUAGCUCCAGUUGAGCUUGCUGGCAUUUGGCUAUGAGCCGGGGGAGUGGGACCUCCGCUGUGCUCGGGAGGAGGUACCUUCCCAGUACCACCUCCGGUUCCUCCUCCUCCGCUGGUGGGGCGACGCUACUGGCGACUUCGGCGACCUCCGGAGCCGCUGCCUCUGCUGCCUCCGGGGCCGCCACCUCCGCUGCCUCCGGUACCGCCGUCGCCGCUGCCCCUGGCCCAGCAGCCUCCGCUGUAGCAGCGAUCCCCUCAGCUGCCGGAUCAGCUGGAGAAGGUCCGACCUCGGCGCCCGGCGCUAUUGCCGGUGCCUCAGCCGCUGCAGUGGGCCUGAUCGCCUCCUCCUGGGGGAUGGCUUCUGGACGUGGCGACGUGGUAACCUCCGGCUCCGGACCGCUGGGUCCGGGGGCUUCUGGAGCUGCUCCUGGCGGAGGCCCUGCUGGAGCCGACGCCGAGGACUCCGGCGCUGGCUGGGGGCCGGGUCCCCCAGUCGGAGCAUUUGAAGGUUGCGGCCUGCCGUACCACCUGUUUGGUUAAGCACUAGAAGCCGAGAAAGAAAAUGAAAAACCUUGAUAAAACCACUUACGGGAAGUCGUACCACUCCCAUCUGCCCCGGGCGGCCGGGGGGACCUUCCUCCCUGCCGAGGACCCCCCGGACCUUUGGGGGCCGUCCCCGGCCUUUGAGCCUCCUGGCGGCGGCGUUGGGGACGGCGGUCUGAUCUCGGACGGUGGCGGAGGCGUCGCUGGCCGCGACCCUGGUGGUGGUGGCGGAGGAGUCUGUCGUCCCGGCGGAGGCUGGUGCUGUGGUGGGGGUGGUGCAGCUCCGCUCUGCUCCUCCACCCCCGUGGUUUUCUGGCGCUUGGGCGCCGGCUCCCCCACCAAGGAGCCGUCACCUCGCUGGAGCCUCCGGGACUUGCUCCCUUCGGCUUGGCUGCGCCGCUCGGGUGCCGCCCCCUGAGCCUCGCCGCUCCUUUGGGCUGGGGCAGCACCCGUACUGUCUUUCUGCCGGUGCUCCGGCACCGGCGCUUUCUCAUUUCCCUUCCCGCCAGGGGCCGGACCUCUGGGUCCCGGCUCCCCGGCACCUUCGCUGGGGCGUUGCUGGCGGACCGGUGUGGCACCAGGGAUCUGGAGCCCGCGGUUGGGGUCGCCCCCCAGUUGCCGGACCGCCAGGCCGCCCUCGUCCAGGGUCGGCAUCGACGCCAGGACCGUUGAACGCAGAGCCUGGUCCUCGCACAGGGCCUUCACCCCGCUCGGGAGGACCAGGGACUCUGGGAUGAACGUCUCGCCGGUCAUCGCCCGGAUCGCCGCCUCCAGCUCCGCCCUGGUGAAGUCGCCGCCGGGCCCGCGUGCAAUCCUGCAGCAGUCGUUUAGCCCCGUGUACACGUAGGCCAUCCGGGUUCGAUGCUGCAGGGGGGCGAUCCGCCGCUUCAAGAAGUCGCCCAGCACCAUCAUGGAAGUCAGGCCGCUCCUUGCCAGCUUCUUGAUCCGGUUCAGGACCGGGUCGAGCUCCACCGGUAUUGACGGCCUGGCCUUCCAGGUGCUCCGGUCGCUCUGGGGGCCCCCUUCCGGCAGUUCUAGGCGGUCGUGGGGGUCGGUCACCGCAAUGACCCAGCCUUCGCGCCAGUCCUCCCACUUGGAGCUGGAGAAGGCGGCGAUGUAGGCGCCCGACAUCCCGUGCCGGAGUUGGAAGUAGUAAGUGCCAAUCUCGCCGCGCUUCUUCCCGGUCCCGACCAGGGCGUAGAAUUGUUUGAAGAUGGUGGUGCAGGGGCGCACCCCCACGAACAUCUCCAUAAAGUGGACGAAGACCGCCGCGAGGAGAACGGAGUGGGGGGUGAGAUGUUGAAGUUGGAGGCCGAACUCCUCCAGGAGCAGGAGGAAGAAGGGGGAGAUCGGAGGAACCAACCCGCACAUAAUGUACGAAUUGAAGAGGACGAACUCCCCCGCGGCAAGGUCGCGGAGGGGAACCUCGCCGGCCCUGACCUUCCCGGCGUUCGCCGGCGCGGUCCACCCCAGAAGGCGCCGCACCGCGUCCAACUGUUCUUGGCUCUGGAAGCGGCGCGGGAAAGGAAGCGAAGCCAUGUGGAUUAUUGGGGGGGAUUGCGAAGGAGUAGAGAAGAGAAAGGCGCCGGGCGCAAGGAAGCUGAUCGCGAGAAGGGACGCGGAGACGAAGGGGCGCUGCGGCGUUUGUUCUUGGCAGGAGCGAAAAGGUAGCCGUUCCCUUCGGCGCUUACCUUUUAUGCAAAAGGCUGCAUCCCCUUAGCAUCCCGCGGCGACCGAGGAGAAGUCAAGCGGUCGCCAGCGCCGCCUUCCCCUUCCCUCACACUCUAUGACCAGUGGGCUCGGGCCCACCAGUCAUAGGCGUGGGUGCUGGAGGAUCGUGGGAAGGGCAGAAUCCGAACCGCCCGAGCCGCGCGGCGGGCUCGAAUGAGACAAGAAUCUGAACCGUCUGACGCGCACGGUGCGCGCGGAAGACGGGCCCCUCGGGGAUCCCGCUACGGGCGAAAGGACAUCCGUGCCCUCGCCCGGCGGGAACGAGCUGUCCACCCGGCGCGAUGCUGGGAUUUGGCCCCACCUGCGGGUACGUCCCUCUCCCGAGGUGGGCCCAGGGGCCACUGUCGGUACAUACAGAUAGGGGUACCUCCUGCUAGGGUGUCCAGGCCAUUGGCUUCUCAUAAUCCAUGCUCCCCCUCGUCUCUGGGACACGUGGCAUACGACCUCCGGGCCUGACAGCUGGGGCCGCGGUCUCCGGACCCUCCCCCCGAGCUCUGUGAGGUCCGGGGUCUACUGCACACCUAGACGGACGGGAGAGCCCUCGGGUAGCCCCUGCGGACCCGGUCUCCCCUGGGAGGUCCGGGGCCGCCACGUGUGAUGGCCGAACCAUCACAGGCCAGCCCGCUCCGACCGGCCUCGGGGGCCCCGGACCCCCCUUCCCCCGGGAAGGGGUCCGGUGCCACCAUGUGCUGCCCAGCGGGAGGAGUGGGGCUGGCCCCGCCGCGUGCCUGCGGCCGGAGGCCCCUUGCGGGUCGCCUCUCACCUACCAGCAUUUAAUGCGGUAGCUGGGUCAGGCGCGCCAAAGUCAAAAGGUGCGGCCUGCCUCUGACACACGGGGCAGGUAAGCUGACACCACGGUAAGCCCGCCUGAUCUGAAGGCGGCGCGUCGUAUCACCGCGCACAGUGCGCGGACUGUGUACAGUCCCGUCACGGUGCUGUGCGCGUGAUGAUGGCCUGUAAUAGGCGAGCCAAGGCGUGCGCUGUAACAGUGCACGCGCGACGGGUCAGCGCUGCUUCACCGCCUGACGGGAGGUCCCAUCCCAACAGUGACAGCACGGCUUCACUGUUGUGCAGCGCUGACGCCGGACACUGUGCAAGACAAGGCUGUACAUGGCCAUAUCCUGGCUGUAGAUACGCACAUCAACUUUUCGAUUGAGAGGACUACGGAGAGGAACUGGAGAUGAAGAUCUCUAUAUCUCUCAUAGAACAGCUCCUGCAGGCCGGACCCACAUGUCGGGGUCCCGCACAGUGUAAGCACUCCCCUUGAACUAUAAAAGGGAGAAUGUACUCGUUAGAAGAUAGGUCCCAAGUUCCAGGUUGCACACACGCAAGCUUAUGCUGCUCUCUAUUCAGGCCCACGCAGCCAAUACAACACCAAAGUGGACGUAGGGUAUUACGCUCCGGCGGCCCGAACCACUCUAAAUCUUCGUGUCCUUCCUGCGUUCAUCUGUCCACCGAUCGAGCGCCCCUAAGUCUCCUCCAAACCCAUCUUUAACUAGGAUUAGGCGGGUGCUUUCCGCCACCCGGCUGGAGAUUUCCUCCGACACCGCCCUACUCCAUUUGAUGCCUAAACCCAUGGAUAUAGCUAUGCCUACCAAUUAAAUCCACCCCAACCCAUAUUUAACUAUAUAUAUAUUUAUAUUUAGUGGCUCCGCUUUUGAUGUGGGGCUACGUACAAGUCUAGCCACACUAAUGUGCAUAGAGUACAUCUCUAACAAAUUUUAGUCAAUUUCGAUAAAAUUUUAUAUUGUGAACGUGAGGUUUUAUUUCCAGGGUCUGGCUCUUUACAUCGGGUCCACGUGUAGAUCUAGCCACAGUGCUUUACAGAGAGUAGCUGCCAGUCAUACCGAGUCAUCUCCAACAAAUUUCGGUUAAUUUCGACAAAAUUUUAUGGUGUGAACGCAAGAGUUUAUUUCCAGGGUCCAGCUCUUGGCGUGGGGCCCACGUGUAGGUCUAGUCACACUGCUUUAUAUAGAGUAACCGCUAAUCAUACUAAGUCAAAAUUGAUUAAAAUACACUCAUUCCAACCCGCAUUUGCAUAGAACCCGCUCCACCUUGCCCCAGUACCUAAUACAACCUAUUUUAACGUAUCCAAACACACUCCACAGAACCCACCCCAUAAAAUCUAUUUCAACCCACCCUACUCGUGGGCCUAAGGGUGUGUUCGUUUCCUCCCCUCUAAAGUUUAGACCCGUCACAUCAAAGAGAAUCUUAUCAUUUAGAAGUAUUAAAUAAAAUUUGUUUAUAAAACUUUUUACACAGAUGGGUGCUAAUUCGCGAGAUAAAUUUAAUGAGCCUAAUUAAUCCAUAAUUUACCACAGUGAUACUACAGUAAUCAUUCGCUAAUCAUGGACUAAUAUACCUCGUUAGAUUCGUCUCGCGAAUUAGCCCUGGGGUUCUGCAAUUAGUUUUGUAAUUAGACUUUAUUUGAUAUUUCUAAAUGAUAAGAUUCUCUUUGAUGUGACCCCUCUAAAAUUUAGACCCUAAGAAACGAAUACAACCUGAGUUCAAGAUCAGAAGGAGCGGGACGGUACGAAGGAUAGGGAGGAUUCCAUGGGUCCCACUCAUCCAUGUGUGGUCCAUAAACUUCAGCUUCAUGAGAACGAAAAAUCAAUCCCUCCUUGUGUGCUGCCUCCAUUUCUGCAGCCCCGAUCUUCAGUAUCACCGUUUCUCUAGCUAGCUGAUACAAGUCUAUCCUGGAAAAUGUUCCAAAUCAAUUUGCCCUCUUUUUUGUACUAAGCAAUAUCUAGCUCGAAUGCUGGAUUUCUCUAAAGUACAUAAAAAAUUUACAAGAUAGUCAGACAAUAUACAUUUCUCUGCAACGCACAUGCUGGACUUGUACAUUUGAGCUUGCAGAGAACGCAGUAGCUGGGAGUCAAAAUAAGAUAGUAUCAUCAACAAGAAAAAAAAGAGAAAUUUAAAUUUUUACCACUACAAAUAUGGGGGCUUCACAAAAUUACCACCAUCAAGAUGGGUUUUGCAAAAUUCUCACUUACACCGUUGACAACUCGUUUUCCUUGUCAUUCUUCCUCUUGUAUUGAUUUUCAUUUUUUUUCUUUUUCCAGGCCGUGGAACGACCAAAAUGCACCGGCCUGCCCCUCUCACAUUAUCUGGUUGCACCGAAUCGGUCUGCAACUCUGAGUUGCCGCUAGGGCCGCCUACCCUGUACCAGCCAGCCGCCUGCCCGCCCGCGCGCCCGCUGGCCGCCGCUCGCGGAGUCGCGGCUCCUUGUGGCCUCCCCGUCCCACCCUUCGACAUCGCUACGACGCUACCCCUCGCGAUGAGCGCGCCGUCCUCGAGCAGCGCCGGCGUGAUCCCCUCUCGGCCCCUGCCACUACCUGCCCGUGACGGCGGCGGCGGCGUGUUCCUGCGCCCGCGGCCACCAGGCACCAGCGGCCGAGGAACGGGAUCGCGGCGCCGGUCGCGCGCCAGAGACGAGGAUGGCCCAGCCCCUACAGUUUGGAGGGAGAUUGGGAAAGAAGAGGAGGAGGGCGGAGGAGGGCGACGUUUGAACCUGGACGUCGGCGGAGGGCGGCGCCCUGGCGAUCGCGCGAGGCGUCUUGGCCUCCGGCCGGCGUGGCGAUCGCGGCGGCGAGCGCAACUCAGAGUCCCAAAACAGUAGUUACGUUUCACCGAUCCAAUGACCAAUUCCAACCAGAUGUAUACGUAAGGCAUGGGCUGUUUUUGCAAGGAAAAAAGAAUACAAAAGAGGAAGGGCUGUUUUUGCAAUGCCAUUUUUGACCAUCGAUCGGAGUUUGAUCCUGGCCAUAAAACUUGAAAACCGGAUAACUUUAGCCAUCGAACUAUAAAAACCGGAUAAGUUUGGCACUCUAUCCAGUUUCAAAGGUGGUCUUGGAUAUAUUUAUAUUUCUAAAUAAUAAUAAAAUAUGAUUUAACCCCUAAAAUUAUAACUAAUUUAUUUUAAAUCAAAAAAAUAUAAAAUUAGUAUAAAAAUUUCUCCUGCAUGAAUCCUUUUGGUCAAUAUCUAAUCUAUUAUUAUAUUAUAGAAUCAAACGAUAAUUUAAAUAAACAAUGUCACAAUUACAAAGCAAUAAAACACUAGCAAAAGGAACAAAUAAGAUUCAAAUAACUCUACAUAGAGCAUGGUCAGGUAGAUUAUACUUUUUGAGAAAUUUUGAUAUGUGUUUCAUAUUUUUCUAAUUUAAACCGAAUUAGUAUGAAUUUUUAGAGAUUAAAUUAGAUUCUAUUUGUUUUAGAAAAUACACAUAUAUGCAAACCACCUUUGAAACCGGGUAGAUGGUCCAAUUUAUCCGGUUUUCACGGUUAAUGGUCAAAGAUACCCGGUUUUCAAGGUCGAUGGCUAAAACCGAACUCUGAUGAUAGUUCGAUGGUUAGAAAUAGACUUUGUUUAAAGAGGAAUACUAGCAAGGAAAACAACGAUAUGAGUGGCAAUUUUUGCAAAGCCCAUCUGAGCAAUGGCAAUUUUACGAAUCCCAAGUUUGCAGUGAUCAAAAUUCAAAUUUUUCAUACCAAUUUAAAUUUUGCUACCGAGAUAAUUAGCAAUUACUAGACAGAUUAAAGACAAGUCCGUUGUAGAAAGAAAGAACAAGGGUUUAAGGAACACCGAGUGCAACUCCAAUACGGUGAGAUUAUGCUGUUUAGAUUUUUUUCUUGUAUGCUUGGUUUUCUUAGGAAGUGUUUGGUUACUUGAGGUUUAUAAUAAAUCAUAUCAUAUCAAAUAUUUUAAUAUCAAUUAGAAAAACUAAAUAUAAGUUAAUUAUAAAACUAACUGCAUAAGCCUAUGACUAAUUCGCGAAACGAAUCUAUUAAACCUAAUUAAUCCAUAAUUAGCACAUGUUACUGUGGCAUCACAUAGACUAAUCAGGCUUAAUAGAUUCAUUUCACGAAUUAGUCUAGGGUUAUGGAAUUCGUUUUAUCAUUAGUCUAUGCUUAAUACUUCAUCCAAAUAUUCGAUGUGACGAGACUUAAAAUAAACCCCAUCGAAACCAAACAUAGCCUUAUACGUGUACCAACACCCAUUGAGAAAGUAGGUGCCAAAUCUGUCGAUGGGUGGCACGGCAAGUAAAGUCACGGACCAUCCAUCCAUGAGUGGAAUGCCAUUUCUAUUUUUAUCUUUUAAAUUGGAAAGUUUGUGAGUUCUUAAAGAGGUAAAGAGGUUUCAGUAACAUAAAGUCUAAGUAAUUCAUAAAAUCUCGAUUUCAUAAGUUGCAUUAUAUCUAUCCAAACAUAAGUCCAUUUGAACACUAGGACCUGCCUAUAUGAUCUUUUUAUUAAUAAUGUAUAAAUAUAUAUUAUUAAAUCAAUUCAGCAUAUAUACGUAGCUACUCCCACGUGUGUAUUCUAUGAUGUAGGAUAUAUCUGAUCGAACGGAGAGCAUGUACGUAAAGUACGUAAUCAUACUAUACCAUCUAUGAUGGUAUAUAUGUUGAGUAUGUGACCAUACAUAGAGUAUAUAAAUAUACUCAUUUUUAUAUACUAGUAAUAAGGUAUAAUCAUAAUAUAUUUAAAAAUAAUUUUAAAUUUUUUGUUUGUAUCCUUUUAAAAUAUCUUAUAAUUAGUAUAUGAGCAUACUCAAAUUAAAGUGAUAAAUGAGUAUGUGGAUAUAUAUAUACGGUGGUAUACUGAUGGUGAAAGUAGCUCGUAGAUAAAACUCAUCCUUAUUUUAAAAAAAAUAAUUAUAUAUUGUGAAUACAUUUUUAAGCUGAAUCUAGUUAUAUCAACAUUACAUUGUCAAUCUAUAUGAUUCUUUUGGCUAUGGAUGCCAAAGCUAUAAUUGAGCUGAGUUGGGACAAACCUAAAUGUAUUUCUAUAUCUGAUCAGAUGUAGUAAACAAAAUAUUUUGGUUUCAUUGCUUCAACGAAUGUAUUAUUUUUUAAUGCAAUACCAAAUAAAUUCACUUGAUUUUCUCUGCUUGUUGUCCGCUAAGAGCCUACGAGUACUGCCUGCAAUCCGAAUCUAUUGCAAAAUGUGACUGAGAUGAUGAAAACGCAUCAGUUGAUUUUUCUGGUUUCAACAAAACUGUCAGCGUACAUGUCCGACUUCAAUCAGAAGAAGAUCAGCAAAAGAAAAAAAAACAUUAGGUAGACAGCCUCUUCUCUCUAAGCUCAGGUCUCUCAUAAUGCAUAUGAGCCUAUGAGGUGCUAUGCGUGAACUUCGAAAACCAAAGGAAAGGCACUUUGGUCGUGAUUGGGGCUGGGUUGGGCGAUCUUUUGGAUCCUUUCCGGUCAAAAUGCACAUCCGAGCAGAUCAGUACGACACUGAUCUAGCUUAAUCAGCUACUGCCCGGGGUCGUUCCCUUGGGAGACAAAAGAUGGUUGUGUUGGGCCGAACCGAAGCGUUGGGUGCGGCCAGCUCCGAUCCUCAACCAAAAGUGCACUAACACAUUACCCCAAUUUCUUUUCCGGUUCGUGCGAUAAAGCCGCUCGAAUUGCCCGUGAUCUCACUCAAAGAGGCCCGGGCACAAUGAUGCCUGUGCACGGUGGUUGGCACGCACGGGUAGCCCUGCUUGCUUGUGGCGCCACUGAGGAGACGAUGGGCAUUUUUUUUUUCUGCGUGAUAGAAUAGAAACAGAUCAGGUCCAUGAUUUGACUGACACAAUGAUGCUUAUGCAGGGUUUUGUUUUUGCUUGUACAAUUUGUGCAGUGCCCUUUUUAUCAAUGAACGUUAGAUGUAGAGCCUUUUUGUAAAGUGAGCUUUUAUCCAUUAUCAACGUACAACCACUGACUGCCGGAGCAGUGUAACAAGAUUGCAGGUUUUCAGCGGAUAUAGAUGACAGAAAAACGGAUGCAAAGCCGAGUGGUAGUCGAACUCCAAUGUUAGCACAGGUUUGGCUCUGCCGGUGCGAAGCUAUUUCAGAGAACGUGAAGCUUUGUUUCAGAAUCCGCGGCGCCUGCUGGGCACCAGCGUAUGUGCCCAUUCCUGUGUGCCGGCACAUCGCUGGAGAAUAUGUUCACCCAACGCAGAAUUAUUGUAAGCUUGCCUCUCAAUCGGGGCUGGCUUUUAAGUACGGAACCGGAUCAUAUACCUAUAAAAACGGAUUUGAAUAUUUCGGAUAUCUGCCGUCUUCGUGUUUUCUUCCAAUUUUCAUCCCUAGCUAGUUUGGUCUGAACACCUAUGCAAUGGGAGUCGUAUGGACGAACAGAACAAUGUCCUCUUGUUCACACUGAAACCCCAAUGAAAAUCGAUCGCCGAUCGGAUGAAUCGAUAUGGACGUGUGGUUGCCGUAACAGAGAGAAUUUCGAGUUUUCGCUGCACCCGUUUGCACUUUGAUGCCUGCUGAUGCAAAUUGCCGUACCAUCAUAGCCAGCUUUUUUUCUUUUUAUUUUUUGGUGAAACCCAACUGGGUACCGCAACAGAACAAAUGCCAGGGAGACAAACGGGACUACCAGCUUUUGUUGAGCAGGAGAAAGGGACACGGGAGCCAAGUUGGCCGAGACCAGGGCCACAGGCGCACAGGACACCUGCAGGUGGGUCCCGACCAAACACAUGAGCUUUCCACUUCCGACAGGGAAAACACCGAAAUUGCAGGUCCGCUUCACGGCCACGACAGCGACGACCUGGACGCACAAAUCUGUUUGCCAGUUUGGGAGUCUGUUUCUCUCUCCUCCAGCUUCAUUUUUCAUGCCAGGGCCUACAUGGACAGAGGACGCUGGGACCUGCGAAAUCCGGCCAAAUUUUCUGCAAUCUUCGUCCCCUGAAACCGGAGCAGGAUCGCUGAUAAAAAAAAAUGCUAGGAUCAGUCAAGCUACUCCGGCUUGCAAAUUGGUUUUAAGUAUUGCACCGGCAAGGCAGCCGUCGUGCAACGAGCGACAGGUACCAGAACUAGUAUUUGAUCGGUCAAACAAGCAACGCUAGAAGAAGAAGAAGAAGAAGAUAUCGUGUGAUCUUAUAGAAUCAUCUUCCAGUCCCGUCAAAAAAAGAAUCAUCUUCCAGCUAAUUUGGAGGUUGGAAAAAUUAUCGGCAUCACAUGCCGCUCCCCAACCUGCACAGACCAAAGAAGAUACGGUUUCUGAACGAGGGAGCCGCAGCAUGAAUCUCGCCAUUGCUGGCAUCAACCACUGCUUUUUCCUGGUUUCCGGUAGCAAUCAAGUCCAGACGCAUGAAACGGUGAUGUCGAGAAUAGCAUCAUUUUUUUUUUGUUACUGAAUGCAUAUCUGCAUCGUUAUCGUAGAAAAAAAAAACAUUGCUUUGCUGAACGUUUCUUUGUGGAGUUCAGGUUUGAGUAACCAACGCAAGUCGCCAUGCAUGAGAUAUGGAUUGUUGACACCAUGUCCUAAGAGCCCCGUCAGGAUAGUGGACAGCCCGCGUGCCUCUCGAGUGCGCCCGGUUUUCCACUACACUACCGAGCAAGAAGAAUCCAAGGGCACGGCAGAGUUGGAGCUGGCAGGCCCACCGACGAAAACGUGAAGACUGAAGACUGUAACAUCGCAUCGUACUCACUGUUCAGUGUUCACGGAGAUGAAAAGAAGAAUAAAGAACGAACUCAACGCUUCCCUCCAACAGCGGAUUCACUGUCGGCACAGCUUUCCCCAAGCAGCGGCGGCGGCACAAAGUCAGAACACGCCAUCGCAAGAUGUCCCAUCAACAGUUACUGUCCACCCGAAACCUUUUUUCACAGCCGGGUAACACAACAGGUUAACAACCGCCCGUGAAAAAAGUCUACCCGCAACAAGAAAAUCCAGCCCAAGACGGGAGGAGAAGACGAACCACACGCACACGCAGCUCGAUACGUGCACCGCCGGCGCCGGCGACGACGACGAUGGAGACGGGCACGGGCACGCACAGCCAGGACCAAAAGAAAAAAGAAAAAAAGAGCGCCGUGCGACGCCACACCACCGGCAGCAGAAAGCCUCGGCCCGUAUCGCGUGGCCGCCGACGUCAACGUCGACCCGUAUCACGGCGGCUUUGACCAUUGACCGGCCAGAAUAAUUCCAGGCGGGAUGCGCACCAGCGAGCGAUUUUGUUUUUUUUUUUUUUUUGCUUGCCAUGGAGACUGUGGACCAGACAGGGAGGAAGUAAAGGCAGGGCACCCAAAGCGAGCGAGCCCGGCCGGGGGCGAAAGCGACCACCCACCCCGCGCCCAUACGUCACCCUCAUUUCUUCCUUUGACUCCUCCUGCCUUUCCUGCUUUGAACACCGCCUCCUUUUCUUUUCUUUUUUUUUUAGGGAACACCACCUCCUUUUCCUUGUUGUAUUCCACAACCCUUUAUUUUAGUACGACCACAUGUUUGCAAAUAUCCGCCUUGUGGUUUGGGAAUUUGCAUGCCAGCAUGAUGGGUUCGUGGAUGGCAAUUUUUCAGCUGGGCCACGAGGUUUGUGUAAUCAUACCACCCCGUGUUCAUUCCAAGAUCGACAUGAUAUGAGACUAUAUGUAAAUUCUGAUAAAAUCUAUGUGAUUAAAGACUUCAAAAAAAUGCAUAUAUCAUGAUAUUGCAAAUAUUAUCAAUUCUGUGGUUUUAUUUAGUCAUGAUGUGUGCCAUCUAGUGAUUAAAGACUUCAUAAAAAUGCAUAAAACUUGAGAUAGAUUAUUGACUACAGCCGAUGGGUGUAACAUCUUUUUUUAAGUAAAGAAAUGACACUGAAAAUAUCGAUAUUCUAUUUUGCAAACGUGGGCCUAAUAGCCUCUUUAGUCAUCUUGUUUUGUUUAGGUUGAUUCAUGUAAUAUGAGGAUAUAUAUCGUGAUUCAUCUUUGAUAUAAACCUAUUCGCUUGUGAAAAAAAAGUGUGGAGGAAAAUAUGCAUUCUUUGAGGGGUACACGCGAAGAAUUCCCCGGAAAAAAUUGUAACGGUUACGUUACACACGACACGAGCACGGUAGACCCGGGGUGGCCGACGCGACGACCAGCACCACCACCGCUUUUGCUUCUCCUUCCAUAUACCCACCAUCCCCACCACCUCCUCCGGCCUUUCCCUUUCUGCCGCAUUCCCUCUUCCUCCGGCAGCCGUCGCCAGCUCCCCGUCCCAUGGUCCGGAAGGAGACGGCCAUGAGGCUGCCCCCGCAGCACCGGGGGCUGGAGGUCAAGAUCCCCAGCUUCUUCCGCUGCCCCAUCUCGCUCGACGUCAUGCGCUCGCCCGUCAGCCUCUGCACCGGCGUCACCUACGACCGCGCCUCCAUCCAGCGCUGGCUCGACUCCGGCAACACAACCUGCCCGGCCACCAUGCUCCCGCUCCCCUCCACCGACCUCGUCCCCAACCUCACCCUCCGCAGCCUCAUCGCCCACUGGGCCGCCUCGGCCGCCACCUGCUCGCCCACCGCCGCCGGAGGAGGCUCCGCAGCUUCCUCGGUACGGACUUCCUCCCCCGCCAGCCUCGUCCGGCAGGUGGCGGCCUCCGGCGCGGACCCGUCCCCAGCCCUCCGCGGGCUGGCGGCGUAUCUCUCCGACGAUGACGUGGACGACUUCGAAAAGAACGCGCUUGUGGGCGCCGGCCGCGCCGCCGAGACGGUCGCGUCGGUGCUCCGGAGGAAAGGCGAGGAGGAGACCAGCGUCGAGAGCGUGGAGGCGGCCACGAGGGUGCUUGCCGCGAUCGUGGCCUCGGACGGCAUCGACGACGCGAACAAGAAGCGGGUUGCCGCCGGCCUCGCCGCGGACGCGCCCACCUCAGCCGCGUCGCUGGCGCGCGUGAUGCGCGGCGGGAGCGGCCUGGAGGCGAGGGUCGCCGCGGCGAGGCUGGCGGAGUUCCUGCUCGCCAAUGCCACCGACGAGGCGAAGGCGGCGGCGGCCGAGUCGUCCGAGCUGGUGUCCGAGCUGAUCCGGAUCAUCGGCCCCGUGGACGAGAAGGGCACCCUGGACGGGAGGGCCGUGGAGGCCGGGCUCUCGUGCCUGGCCACCAUCUGCGAGUCGCGCCGCGCGGCGCGCGCCGAGAUGGUGCGGCUGGGCGCGGUCCCCGCCGCGGUGCGCGCGCUCCGCGCCACGGCGGAUCCCCGCGCGUCCGCGAGGGCGCUCCGGGUGCUCGAGUCCGCGGCGGGCUGCGCCGAGGGCCGCGCCGCGCUGUGCGAGGGCGCGGAGGAGGCCGUCCCGGCGGUGGUGGGCAGGAUGAUGAAGGCCGGGCGCGACGGCGCGGAGGCCGCGGUGGCCGUGCUCUGGGCGGUGUGCCACCGGUACCGGGACCGGCGGGCGGCGGACGCGGCGGCGGCGGCGGAGGGCGGGCUGACGAGGCUGCUGCUGCUGGUGCAGAGCGGGUGCUCGCCGGCGGCGCGGCAGAUGGCGCUGGAGCUGCUCAAGAUGUACAGAGUGAACGCCAAGAGCUGCCUCGCCGGGUACGACUCCAAGACCACCCACAUCAUGCCGUUCUGAGGAAGCGAAGCGGGUGGGAACGGCUCGGUGAUCCGCGAUGGAUGGAGUUGAGCAGCCAGCCGAUCAACUGAAUCGCGUGGAACAGUGGAUGGGUGUUCUUGUUCCUGCGAUGAUGUUUCUUGCUUUUUUUUUCCUUUUUCUUUUGAUGUAAGUCGAUAGAUAGAGAAAGAAAGAAGAAUUGGUUCGUGGAGGGGAGGAGGAAGAAUAAUCUGUACAUGCGUAGAGAGAGUUUUGACAUGAUCUUAUCAGAACAGGCACAGGGGACAAAUUUAACCAAAGAAUUGAUUUUUUUUUUUUAGGCCAAGGCAAUUGCAUGUGCAUGAUAAAGUUGCAGCUCUGGAAUUGCACUCUGAGAGAGAAGAGAGAAACAAUGAUCGUCAUGAGCUGUGAAACGAUAAAGCUGCAGCCUCAAGCGAAAAUCAUUACAUGCUGCUCUGACCAAAAUCCUCGAAGAACUCGCACGACGACGAAUCAUUGGUCUACACAGCAGUUGGUGAUUCGUAGUACUAGGUUUGAGAGAGAGAGAGAGAGAGAGAGAGAGAGAGAGAGAGAGAGAGAGAGAGAGAGAGGGGUGCUUAUCAGGCAGCAAGUUGUAAAAAAUUACCUGAUGCGGAAUGUCGGGGUCUGGACUCUAGAACGGAUUACGCCUCCUACGCAUAUCCGUAGCUUGAAAGCAAAAAUGCGUACAGCAUGGUCGCUAGUCCUAGUAGGAUAAGUCUAAUUAAAAUGGGAGCAUCUCCCUCCACGUCUGCGUUUGACCGGAUGUCAUGAUCAUUUGACCAGGGCGUGGAGCAUCACGUCCAGUUCACUCCACCCACACGCCGGGGGCAUCAUGCCUGAACUUUUAGCUGCAACUAGCAGCUGAGACGCCGAAGUGCUUCCGGACAGCAGCAGAUUGAGCAGAGCAAGCCAGGGACAUUUGCUUGCCUUCUGAUUUGUUUUCAGCUAAGUGAUCAUCCGUGCAGCAGGAAAAAUAGAACUUGAGUUCUUAAAAAAACAGUACUUAAUUGCGAAGAAAUUCAGCUAAUAUCACCAGCUAUUUGGAUUUAGACAUGGCGUUCAGAGAUGGGCGAGGUGGUGGCGAGGCGCCGGUCGAGCACCUCAACGAAAGUGAGCGAGAGCGUGAGUGGGAGGCAGAACGGUCGCGCACCACAUGCAUCUUUACCCUUUUCCCGUUCCGAUGAACCGGACGACGUGUAGCCACCUAGCCGGCCGGGCAAAGUUUCCGGCGCCCUUUAGCGGCGUCCAAACUCCUAGGCCGGCCGCAGGAGUCAAUCCUGGGGUAGUUGUUUAGGGCAGUACAACAUUCGGGUUGCGCGUCCUAUCUUGAAGUGCGCAAACGAACAAAAACGAACUGAGUUUCUGAAAAUGCAACACCCAUAAAAUAACAAACCAUCAACGUUACAGCAUAUUGUCUGUCUGGUAUUCUGAUCAUCACGUUACAGCACAUCCAAGAGGUAUCUGUUCGGCAUCUAGAUCAUCAAUGUUACAAUACAUCCGAGCACCAUGACUAUCCUAUCGAUUAGAAGUUUGUGACCGGCAUUUGAAACACUACGAUAUUGCAGUACAUCCAAGCACCAUGAAUCUACAUGUUUCAACCAGUAUCCAUAGCUACCAAACUACGUAGCUGCAUUGAAAUCAAUGGCUGACAAUGAUGCUACACAGCCUGCAGGUCCAUGGACGAAGCACAAAAACACAAAAGUGGCCGCAACUGGUGGAGGCAAAAUGAGCACGAGCUCGACUGCUCAUGCAUCCUAAUUUGAGCUGCAAAAGGAUAAUAAUUUAUUGUCUAGCCCGUCUCCUGGAGAUAUAAUAGCAAGACGCAAAUGAUCCACUAUCUUGGUUUUUGUCCUAAAAAUUGCAUGGCUAAUCCUUGCAUGCAUCCUAAAAAUUUAAUAUCUAGCAUGUCUCCUGGAGAUGUAACUGCAAGGGUGACAGUGACCAAAGACAAUUUAGGGUGCGUUCGUUUUCUACCCUCUAAACUUUAGACCCGUCACGUCAAAGAGAAUUUUAUCAUUUAGAAGUAUUAAAUAAAGUCUAAUUACAAAUCUUUUUGCACAGAUGGGUGCUAAUUCGCGAGAUAAAUUUAAUGAGCCUAAUUAAUCCAUAAUUUGCCAUAGUGAUGCUACAGUAAUCAUCCGCUAAUCAUGGUCUAAUAUAACUUAUUAGAUUCGUCUCGCGAAUUAGCCCUAGAGUUCUGCAAUUAGUUUUGUAAUUAGACUUUAUUUAAUAUUUUUAAAUGAUAAAAUUCUCUUUGAUGUGACGGGUCUAAACUUUAGACCCUAGGAAACGAACACACCAUUAUUCUUAGCUUAUUUAGCAUUUUGAAAAGUUACAGUGCAAGUUCAGAGCUGACAAAUGUGGAUUCCAAUAAGACAUCGACUAUAAAUCGUUAUUGCUCACAGAUCAAUCAUCUGCAUCCUAAGUAAAAAAGUACACCUUACAGUACAAGAUUCCCUGUAGUCCUGUAGAGCAUGAUGGGAAGUCCUUAAUCCUUUAGCCAUUUUACUAACAGUAACGCAGGCAAGUAAAAGAAGCAAUUACCUGGUCUAAUCAGGAGCAUCUGCACCAUCGUUACCGCUGCCACUGUCAUCUCCAGCUUGCUCAGCAGUGAAAAGUUUUUUAGCAACCUUUUUAUUAGGAGAUGGGCGAGACCUAUAAGUAUAGAUAUAAGUUUUGUGCUUAUUAACAAAAUGACAACAAAAAAACUGGAUGGUAUUAGGGAUAACCUCUUCUUUGUAGCGCUUGUCUGUGUCUUUGUAGAAGAACCACCAGUGGCAUGUGCAAUGGAAGCCAAAAUCUUGUCUGGUGGCAAGAAAUGCUAAAAUGAGCAUCUAAGGCUACUGAUCAUAAGUCUUUAUCUCAUGAAGCUAAGGCAUGGCCUAUAUAAAGUAUCCACUCAUCUGCAGCUUAUGAUUUUAAGUAUAAACAGGUUUUUCAUAUCCACAACACAUUUUAGGCAGAAAUGCAUAUCUGAUCAGACUGAGCACAGCACAAUUUGCAAAAUGCAUGUCCCUCUGUGGAGCUGUAGUCUACUGCAGUGGAUAAAAACAGCAAGGAGUAAUUUUACCUCAUCAUGAGCACAGUUAAGAGAAAUAUAGAAGAUAUUCAGAAGGGCAAUAUGUUUGUCUGACAUAAAGGAGGCAAAAAAGCACCUCAAUACAGGGGCAAACAAUGCCACACAAGCCAGGUUGGUUUUGGAGAGUAUCACACAACACCAUUUGUAGGCAAUGUGUUCUGCGCAUUAAGAAACGUAGCGUCAUUUAGUAUAGCAAUCUUAGAUGUAGCUCCAAAAUUUCCAAUGGUGAUAUUCUCUGCAGAUGCCCAAAUAAAAUUUAAAAAAAAUCAAGAACUUAGUUUAUCUGUCUAACAUAAGUAGCUCAUGGCGUUAGAUUCUAUCCAAGGCCCCUGCCAUGGUUGUGUCAGUGCCAUCUUUCAUGACAGCCACAUUUUUUAUAGAAAAAGGACAUUGUAUUAUUAUCCAUCCAAGAAAUCAGUUAAUCCCAAUCUGCAAUCCAAUGUAGAACAACUUGUUUCUAGAAGCACACUAUAAAUUAUGAAUGGACCACUACCAUUGAUCUCUCUAAUUCCAAACAAUAAAAGAGAGAGGGCACAUGGGACUCACUCUAGGUGGACGAGUGCUAGUCUGCAAGCCCUCAGCGCCUACCAUUCAACAGCAUAUCCGGCGUGCUGGCCGGGGCUCGUCGUUGUGCUUGAGCUCAAGAUCGUGCUGGAGCUCGAGCUCGAUCGGGAGCAUGUUGCCGCGCCGCUCCCUCGCCACAGCCGGGAUCGACCCACCGCGACGCGCCCCCGUGGCCUUGCCUGCCCGCCGCUCCAAGCCGCCACGGCCCAUGCUGCGUCCGAGCUGGGAUGCCGUGCCUGCCCAAGCACCGGCUUCGGCUAGACCGCGCUGCAGCGGCGUCCAAGCUCGAGGCGGUGCCGGAGACUCUCUCCUUCGGGCGCCCGGCGGUAGAGAGCAGGAGGAGUGGUGGCGGGGAGGGGCAACUGAGGAGAGGGGGAGAGAGAGGGCGGCAGCUGGGAGCAGGAGAGGGAGAUGGCAGCGGGGCGCGCGGAUCCUAACGGCAUUGCGCUUGGUCUCCCGCAGCACGUCGAGGAGCUCAGACGUCACGCUCUCCCGUGCCCUCGACCUCGGUGAGUCAUGCCUCCUCCACCGCAUCCAAGGUGCGGCUGGGCAAGGGCCUAGGCACACGGCGGCCGUCGCUCUGCUCCAUGCGCUAGAGCAGCCGCGCCGUGGCUGGCCGGCCCACGCCCCCUCGCUUCGAGCCGCGCCCCACGCUGGAUCCGGAUCCUGCGGGAGCAGCUAAGAGCAGGAGGAGCGGCGGCGGGGAGCAGGAGAGGGAGGGGGAGGUCGGCGGGGAGGAGGGAGAGGGGGGUAGGGUUCGGAGCUGUGGGAGGGGGUGAGUGAAAAACUGCUUAGCAGGAUUUUUUCAAACACGAUAGAAUUAUUGAAUUUUUUCUUCUUUAUAUCAAAAUAAACAUUAAUUUGAGGUUCCACGGGGAAAAUAAAAGAACAUGAGCAGAGAGGUGGGUUUAGUUGUGAUUAUUAGAAAGUAGAAGGGUUUUUUUGAAAAAUAGCCAAAGCAAGUGUUAUCUUUUUUUCCGUGAAGCACAGCGGGGAGGGCAAAGCCCAGCAGGUUUUUAAUGAAGCUGAUGCGGACGCCGGUCACAGUUGACCGACUGACUCGCGUCGCGUGGGCCUUUUCUCGUGAGAGCACGCGGGGAGGGAUUGAGAGAUGAGAGACGGGACGGAGAACGGCCAACGGGAGAAACGGCGAUAAAGAAGAGGCGGUGAUCUUUUUUCAAGAAAGAAGAGAAGAAGAAGAGGCCGAGCAAGGCAGGACGGAACGUGUUACUGCUCUUUUUCGGUACUCUUUUUGACCGCCCUGCCGCUGAACUGAACCGAAUGGCCCGACCCGCAAGUUGGCCAUCCAUCUCCUCGCGCUCCUUUCUGCCUCUGCUCUGCCAGUCACCACUCGCCACUACGCGUUCCCGACUUCCCGUCCAAGGUAACUCUGAAAGUCUCAGUCGGAUCCACCGCGUUGCUUAGUGGGCCGUGGAGAAAGGAUCGGAGACGGUCGGGUGGCGUGGAAGCUGGAGGGGCCGAUCGGACUCGGAGCGACCCCGGCGCGUCGCCAUGGCUUCCGGCGGGCUGGCUGGAUCCACGCGCCCCAGGGCGGGGGGAGACCGACGGCGAGCUGGCGCGGGUCGUGCGCCGCCUCGCUGGCCACGCGAACCCGCACCGCGCGAGGACCUCCCGGUCGGUCGGUCUCGGUCACAGGCUGUCGGCUCGUACUCCUCCGUCCUGUCUGGUCUGUCCUCCAGCGGCUACCCAGGCAGGCACCGUGCCGUCCGGGUGCUGCUGCGUCUGCGUGCGGCCGUACGCUCGACUUGGCUACGGCCCGGGGGGGCUGGGCUGGCUGGCUGCCGUGCGAGUUGGAGAGGCUUGGAGCUCGACGAGGACCUUGGGCUUCAUUAUGUGGUGCUAAAAGCCCACGAGAGGACUUUGCCUGCCACUGCACGCACCCACAACUACGUACGUGAGUCAUUUCAUCAUGGGCUAUAUAAUUCCAAUAAGAUGGGCCCAUUCCUACGUGUCCCUCUGGGCUGCUGGCUGGAGCGAGCGAGAUAUACACCCGCCCCCUCGGAUGCGGCCCGGCUGUCGGCGUGCAUCGGGCUGGGCUCAAACUCCUCAGGUCCUCCUGCAUCAUCAUUCGCGCACAGGCUGCUUCAUCGAACACCAUCCAUCGCUCUGUAUGUGUGGACUAUGGAGGCAUGCUUCAACUGCAUUUCCUUAAACUGGACGGUGGUAAUCACUGAACAAGCUAAUUUAAUUAGUUCAUACACGACGUUUCAGGAUAAGCUAAGAGGGAGUAAUACUAGUGUUUUGUCACUGCUGAAAGGCUGAAGAAAGGAAGAGGCCAUUGCAGAUGAGCACCUGGCUUCAUGCAAGUUCCGUGAUCCGACCACAUCUAUCCAGCUUCUGGAGAGAUCCAUUCCAUCUCUCAACGAUUUUCGACUACCCUGUAGAUCAGAGCACAUUCAGCACCGUGCUAAAACCGUAACAAGUUAGGCAAAGCUAGCAAAACCCUUUCUCGGUCUGCUGCUCCUCCUUCCGGCACGGUAGCCAGUUAAACACUAGGUUGAUCAUGCAUCCUACAUUUCUACCGUGCCGGAACUGCAUGCCACGGGCGCACUGGAACUACCACUGCUGCUGGUCAUCAGGUGAACCUGGCGAGACACGCAUCAUGCGCCCCUCCCAUGCGUGGCUCCUGAAAAGCACACCACGCACGAAUCAUGGCGCUCGUCCUUUAUUUGCCAAAGAAGAGACGGGCUCCCCUUCAGUCAUCCACCCUAGCCGCUAGCUACACAUCGCAGCAUCGACCAAUGCAUAUCCAUGAGCGAUACCACGCUAGCACUGAUUAAAGAACCCGGGGGCAUGCAGGAUACUCACCACGCCUAACUUUGCUAAAAGCGGCCAUAAAAUACGUCACGCUUUGUGCUUACCGAGUUUCCUUUUCUUUUCCUUUUUUUCUUUACGGGGCUAGUAGAGAACUGGCCUCUCAUGAACUUUCUGGAAGUGCGUGAGAAUCUCAUCUGCCCAAGUGUAAGAACUUCACCAGUGCCAAGCGACGGACAUGCAUGGCCUGCAGGGCAGGAGAGAUGGGUUAAAAAUUUUACAGUACCGUCAUGCAUCUACACUAUAUGGUAUAUUAGUACACUAGAUUAUACUAGUAGAUUUGCAGGUAUUGAUAAUGGAUCCAAAGCCCUAGCACGUGCCCUCGGCCUAAUGCUGCCUUAAUGGAUCUAACAAAAGCACCGCUAAAUCGCAGUCGCUUGAAAGAUGUCAUGCAUGCAGUCAACCUUUUCCUGUGUGCAGCGUAUGCAUUACGCUGACACCUUUUUCUCCGGCCCGAGCACAUAUUUCAUUAAUACGACCAUUACAAAUCUUAGGGUGUGUUCGUUUCCUACGGUCUAAAGUUUAAAGGUGUCAUAUUAAAAAGAAUCUUAUUAAAUAAAGUCUAAUUACAAAACUAAUUGCAGAACCCCAGGGCUAAUUCGCGAGACGAAUCUAAUGAGGUAUAUUAGUCCAUGAUUAGUGGAUGAUUACUGUAGCAUCACUGUGGCAAAUUAUGGAUUAAUUAGGCUCAUUAAAUUUGUCUCGUGAAUUAGCACCUAUCUGUGCAAAAAAAUUUAUAAACAGAUUUUAUUUAAUACUUAUAAAUAGCAAGAUUCUCUUUAAUGUGACGGGUCUAAACUUUAGAGGGAAGGAAACGAACACACCCUUAAUAGCCCGAGACUAUUAAGACGGAUACAGACGACCCUGGCAAACAAUCCCAAAAACAAACAAGAACAGCAAGAAAUAGGAAAGAGGAGACUGACGAACUCUCAAACCUAGACAAAAACACAGAACUGAACCUGCUAAAAGACGCUACGACAUCGAGAGCGCACAGAUCAAUGACACAACAAGGGUAGCAAAGCAUUCACCCGAUCAACCAACCAUGACGACAAAGCAUCCGCCCCGAAGCGAUCUCCAACCAAGACGACGAUGGCGGCAAAGCAUCCACCAGAGCAGAACGGCGACAAAGCAUCCACCAGCGACAAGAGAGGUGGCAAAGCAUCCUCCAAAUGACGACCUACGCAACCCGGACGAUGUAGAGGAAACAGAGUGAAGACAGGCGCAGAAGUGGAAACUCUCCGAAGAGAGCAAGCGACCACCACCAGCAGAGCUUCCAAGACGACGCCUCAAGGGAGAGAGCGACGCCACCGGCACCAUCGUCGUUCGGCCACCAGGUUAAGGCUUUCACCCGGAGAGCUCACCGGAGAGGAGAGAAGAGGGGGAAAGGAUGACGCCUUAAAGAAGGUAAACAACGCCCGAGGGUGUUAUCGUCAUCGGCUCGCAAGCAGAUCCUAGGCUUUCGUCUCCACCCGUUCCCUCCCCAAAACCAACGCCGCCACAGCGCAGGAGAGCCCACCGGCCGGCACCCUGCCGCAGGAGGCCACCAGGAAGGGAUGGCCACUAGGGGGCAGAAGGCAACCACCGAGGCCAGGCCAGCCAGCCGAGCUGAAGGAAAGCCGGCCGGCCCCGGCAACCUAGAACGAAGAAGGCCGGCACCAACCCCCACAAGAACGUGCACCCGUCCGAAGGUGGCGCAAGCGCCGGCGACCCGUCCCUGGGUGAGCGGCCCCGACCAACUGAGCAGAGAGGCACAGCACGGCCACACCAAGGGCGCAGGACCGGUAGGUGGGGCGGCAAGGCCGGAGCAAGCGGCAACGGCGGCGCAGCCACGCGCCCUUGCCCAACCGAGCCCCGAAGGCAUAGCAAGCCCACGCCGCGGGCGCAGAGCCGGCCAGCUGGUGUGGCAAGGCCGGAGCGGGCGGCGGUGGCGGCGCAGCCACGCACCCUCACCCAACCAAACCCUCGGAGGUGCAGUAAGCCCACGCCACGGUGUAGGGCUGACCAAGUGGGGCGGCAAGGCUGGAGCGGGCGGUGGUGGUGGCACAGCCACGCGCCCCACCCAACCGAGCCCCCCCGGAGGCACAGCAUGCCGGCCGGCCAGGAAAGGGGGCGGCAGCAACAGAUCCGGCCUGGGGAACCCCGGAUCCGGCGAGGGGGAGGCCCGAUCCGGCCCCAACGGCCGGCGGAGGAGCAUCGACAGGUUGAGGCGAGAGGCCGAGCGGAGGUAGGCGGGGGAAGAGAGAAGGGGGGAGACUGCAAGCUGAGCCGACUUCGGCUUAGCCGCGGGCCGCCGCCGCCACCCGAACGGUCCGCGGUGGCGGCCACCGGAGGUGGCGCUGGCGGGGUGGUGGGCGGCGGCGCGGGACGGCCCCGAGCCAUCCGAUAGAGCGACGUGGGGGAGGGAGAGCCUUCGUCGUCCUCCCCUUUUCUUUUUAGCUCCCAAGUGCGGUUUUUACACUGCACCCUUAAUAAUUUUAUAUCGUUAGCAAAACCGUACGUGAUGGUCAUGUUAGCAGCUGGCACUGGUAUGUGAGACUGCAACUCUGCAGCAUUGCAAAAGGUUAAGAGAAAAGCAGCCAUAUGGGAAUGUGCUCGCCAUGUCAGUACAAGCGAGGGGCACCGGCACUGGCAAAGCGAGUGACGUCUCCAUGACCGUAUGCAUGUGCACCGAGGGGCAUCCUUUCAGCGCCACCAGUUCUUGUCAAAGCAUAUACCGUGCAUUAGCAGUUAGCACGCUAGCUAGCUAGGGCACGGAGGUUUUCCUUGUCAUCUUCAGCGCACCGACAUGCCCAACCCUAGCUGAGCAGCAGCCGCAGCAAUGGGCAUGUAUGUGUACAGUGUACUGAGCCAUGACAAGGAGCUUGCUAUAGCUAGAUCGGCGGUGGGAUAGAUCAUAGAUGAACUGAUGGGAGUUUAACAAUUAUUAAUUUUCUGCUGAUGAUGGUGCUCACUCGAACUGUUGAACAUUGAUGCAUGUAAAAAAUUCUUCUUCUGAAUUUGAUCCCGAGCCGCUGUGCUAAGGCGACACAUUUGAAAAACAAGAAUUUCAGAAAAAUUUGCAGAAAUAGUUCACAGACAUAUUUUUCCCAGACAAACUCUUACAUCUUUCUGAAAGUAGAAUAUUUCUUCUAGUGUUUAAUACUAGGUUAGAAAAAAAAGGGCUACUAGGACGACUCCCACCGACAAGAUGCAGCUCACCGAGACAGCCUUACGCACCCUCAGAUACCUGUAACCACUGGAUUUGGAAGUAUUGAUGGCGCGGCGAACAACGCUAGUGCCGACUGCUGGGUGUUUUUCCGGGGGCCUGUUCGUGGCCACACCAAUAAGGACGAGGCGAGCAGGAGGCAUCUGCAUCUCGAUUUCUGGGGGGAGACGAUCGAUUUCGCCUGUUUUCCUGCGGGUCGGCCGAGGGAAGAAGACAACCGCCUCAGCCUUUUCAGGGGAGAUCAUAAGCUGAGAAAUGCCUUCGCUCAGAUGAAUGCACAUGUGUUCGUCAGCCCGUUUGUGGGCAUUGGGCAACCACCUCUCGCUUUCGUUCUGCAGAGCCGCGUGCACUGGAUUCCGGUAGCCCUAAACCCUUUCACACUACACGAGCAGCCCCUUGCAGAGGAUGAGUGAUCCAAGUGGAUGUCAGUAUUGGAGUGCUAAAUGUCUGAAGCUUUGUUUGCACUGGGCAGGAGGAGGGUGUGAUGAAAUGAUCUUGGUAAGACAAAAACAAGUGCCGAAAUGCACAAAUUAGCAUGCUGAUGCUUGCGAUUAGUCGGGCCUCGUUUUAGUUACUUUAGCUCAUGUUCCAAUCCCCCCAUGCGUAUUCCUUAACUAACAAAUUUUCUAAGGUGGCAGAUGCAUGUGUCUUCUCCGGUCCGAUCUUGAUCUAUGAAUUCAUAUCAUCUCUAGUUUCAACCUAACAUUUGAGGCUGUACCACUUUUCCUACAGAUAGGAAAACCGUUAGUUUGAAGUUAUAUCCAGGCCGGCUUUAAUAGAGAAUGCCGCAAUAAUUUGGAGUGUGAUAGUAGAAUUAUGCUGCCGGCUAGCAGGAAAAACUGCCGUUGAUGAAGGUAAUAGGCUGAGGUAGGGUAGUAGUAGUAGUGCGAGAGAUUGAUCAGCUUGCAUGAUCGAAAGCAGAUGUGCGGUGCGGGGUGUGUAAAUGUCUUCCAUACAUGUUCUACUUUAGCUACUGUCCUAAUGCUAUCACCAGUAUAGAAAUUGCCCUAUUAACGUCAUCACAAAAAAGGCUCCUUGCGCGCGCACUUUCUUUGGCCAGCUAACAUGCUCAAAAUGGUAUUCCAUAGUGCGGAUACGUGCAGAAAAACACAAUUUUUAUGAGAACCAUGACGAUUUCCGGCUGCCCAUGUAACUGCCCGUAAAUAGCAGUUCACUGUGACCACAGCCCUGAAGCUACUGUAGAAAAGCACAAGAUCAUGGUUCAUCAACUCCCGAAAAGAAACUAUAUACUUUCAUUUUCCUUUUUCCACGCUCAGCAUUCUCUGUUCUGCAGUUCUGCUCGGUCCACGUCGUGUGAUCUCAACAGCCCGGCGACCUGCCCGGCUGCGCAAACGUCACAUGGGUCUUCUCUUCUCUACAGUGCCUACUUACUAGUCACUGUCGCUACAGUGCGAUGCAGAAAAAAAUACUUGUAUAUGCAACGAUGUAAAAAGACCUGCACCGCGAGGGCCCGCGCCGGUAACUAGCUCCUAGCAGCCCAGCAGCUACCAUGGCGUCAACAGGUUCAGACUGGCCCGUGCUCGACCAGUGACCGGCGAACGCAAGGGACCAGCGGGGAAGCCACGCCUCGCCUCGCCUCCGUCCCCACAUGCCUAUCCUCUCGAUCACGAGCGGGCAUCCGAGGCCCCCACUCCACUCCAUCCGCCGUGUAUAUAAGAGGUGGCAGGGCGAGCUUCUCCUCAGACCACCAGCCACACUGACCAGAGCCAAGCGGUAGCUUGAAGUGGAGUGAGGAAGUGUGAGAGUGAGAGGAUGGGUGGCAAGGCAGCUCUGCUGCUGGCCCUGGUGGCCGUGAGCCUGGCCGUGGAGAUCCACGCCGACGCCGGCUACGGCUACGGCGGCGGGUACGGACCCACGCCCACGACGCCCACGCCGGCCACACCGACCCCUAAGCCGGAGAAGCCGCCCAAGGGCGGCAAGCCGGAGAAGCCACCAAAGGGCGGCAAGCCGCCCAAGGAGCACGGGCCCAAGCCUGAGAAGCCACCCAAGGAGCACAAGCCUCCCACCUACACCCCGAGCCCGAAGCCGACGCCGCCCACGUACACUCCCACCCCCAAGCCCACUCCGCCGACGCCCAAGCCGACGCCACCCGCCUACACUCCCACGCCCAAGCCGACGCCGACGCCGACGCCGAAGCCCACGCCGCCCACCUACACUCCCACGCCCAAGCCCACUCCUCCGACGUACACUCCCACGCCCAAGCCACCGGUAACCAAGCCGCCGACACCGAAGCCAACCCCGCCGACGUACACUCCCUCGCCGAAGCCCACGCCGCCGACGUACACCCCGACGCCCAAGCCGCCGGCGACCAAGCCGCCGACCUACACCCCGACGCCCAAGCCCACUCCGCCAACCUACACCCCUAAGCCGAAGCCGCCGACCAAGCCACCAACCUACACCCCCACGCCCAAGCCCACUCCCCCGAGCUACACCCCGUCGCCGAAGCCGAAGCCGACGCCACCGACCUACAAGCCGACCCCCAAGCCCACUCCCCCGACCUACACCCCGUCGCCCAAGCCGAAGCCGACGCCGCCAACCUACACCCCGUCGCCGAAGCCGAAGCCGACACCGCCGACCCCCACCCCCACCCCCAAGCCAACUCCUCCGACCUACACGCCGACCCCCAAGCCCACUCCUCCGACCUACAAGCCUGCCCCCAAGCCGACGCCGCCGACCUACAAGCCUGCUCCCAAGCCGACGCCGCCGGUGUCCUACACCCCCAGCCCGCCUCCGCCCUACUACAAGUGAGAUCCGCUACUCUGCUGUGUCAAGCUCGGAGCAUAGGGUACGUACAACAAGAAACGAGCAUGCACACAUUUUCUAACAUUUCCGUCAGAUGCCUUCUUUGUUCAUUUAUCUGAAAAAUACCUUUGCUUAACCAAUGGUGAUCCUUUUGUUUGUUGUGUGUUGCAGAAGGUGAUGGAAGAAGAGUUUGUGCCAACCAGCCGGCCAAGAGUUGAGCUGAAGAUGAGAGGCCCUUCCCUGAUCCUCCUCCUACGUUUGCUGCCGUCCAUCUGUCCUAGCUUGAGAGGAGAGAAUAAUGCAAGCAGAGCUCUGCAGCACCCUCUGAUUUCUGCUGUCCCGUUUAAUUCGUGUUCGUCGCCAGUGUCGUCUGUCUUAGCAGCCGUGUCGUGUGUGGGUAAUGGUAUUGCCACUAUUGGUGUGUCAUCAGGAGGUUUACUGUGAAAGUAAAGCCACAAUAACCGAAAUGCAAGUGAAAGCUAGUAUUUUUACUGUUCUGCUACUCCGUUCACUGCGCAAACGCGUUCUCAGCUACCUCCUCGCGUCUGCAUUUUCCUCCAUGACGACGUGACGAGAUGUGAUGUUUUCAUGUCUGAGAUGCUCGGUGUACAGAGGCAGUGGCCUAUAUGGACAGCACUCUUUGCGUGUCUCUUAGUGGUUACCUCCACUCAUCCACUGCAUCCGUAGAUUCAGAGCGCCAAGCUGCCCAAGCGGUGACUCCAUUGAAUACUGGAACCCAAUCCUGAAUCCUCUGCUCGCUUUGGUGCAGCAAGCAUGCAGUACAAACCUUUUCUGAAUUUCUGUGGUAGUACAAACCUGUUUCAGGGGCCAUCUAAGCUUGGCAAAGUUCGUCGGCAGCUAGCCCAGCAAUUAGCUCAGAAACAUCACAUGACCUAGAUUUCCCAAUCCUAGUGGUUGAAAACAAAUCCACUCAUAGUACGUUGCGUGCGUGGAGCCAAGAGAAAGCAGACAAAAGCACUACUUUUUCCCCCUCUUUUCUGGGGAAAAAAAUAAGCAAGAACACGAACUGGUCAGAAUAUAGUAAAAUUAACCAUGGUGACCCCCGGUGUACGACCAUGCGUGCUUUAUAUUAUCCAUUGCUCUCUAGCCAUGUUAUGCAAAAGUGAGGUGCUUGCUGCAUGCUUAGGCCGAAGAUAACCCCAUGGUGCGUGAUAUUGUUACGAGAUGGAGACAUAAUGAGGCUAGAAGGAGGCCCUAGAUCGAUGGAAACAUUUUAGGAAGAAGUUGAAGUGCUUAUCGCGUGUUUAGGAAAAGACAAGCAAUAUUGUGUGCUGUAGAUAUCUAAGGCUAAGUUUCGAAAAGUGAAAUUCCAUGCGCCGCUGUUCAUCUCUUGCGCAUCUUUUUACAUGCUCCCACGCAAUAAGUUAAUUAAGGGCAUAAUAGAAUCGUUAAACCGACCGAUAGCCCACAUGUUUAUAUGCUACAUAUAUAAUAGCUAGUACAGUGCAGUACACCACACACACACAUUUACGUAGAUUUAUGCCGCUCACGAUCAUCUCGGGUUCGCACGGAUAUGAGACAUCUUUUUACCUAAGGCCACAUGCCCACGUGGGCAUGUCGAUGGAUGUCAGAGAUAAAGUUAACUUGUGAAGAAUAAAGAAAAAAAGGAGCUUCGCCUCAUAUUACGCCCUACACCCAUACCUGUCACUGCAAAAUGGCACAAACAUGCGAAAGUAGAACGAAGAAAAGAAUGUUUCCUGAAAACAAAAGAACGAACAAAAAUAACGUUACUGAGUCGAAAUGAUGCAUGGUGUUCAGUAAGAAACUUGAUUGAUUUCUUUCAAAAAAAAAAGAAACUUGAUUUCUGUGAGUCACUUGAUCGAUGACCCAAAAGGAUUAAUAGCCGAGCUAAUGUAAUUCAGAGGAACCGUGCUCUAUUACUACUCUAGCAACCAUCUGCUUCUCUCGAAGAGACACUCUACCGUCUGUCUGUUCGACGACAACCAACGAGUCAGCAGCAGGGAAACUUACUUGAACUGCAUCCUGAAAAUCCAAUGGUUUUUACUAUGCAGGUUCGACGGCAUGGUCGUCGUCUUCCCGGUGAAAUUUGAAAAAGUUGGCCGGCAUGGGCAGCAGCAGCAAGCAAGGGAAGAACAAAUGAACAGCAGUUUGGUGGCGUGGCGCGCCAUACAUAAAUGGCUGGCGCGUGCAGCGACCUAGUGAGUGGCGGAGUGAAAAGAAAAGAAAAGAAAAGAAGCGAUCCGAUCCAUGUAUUGCACGAGAAAGGCAAGCGUGCAUUCAUUAGUAGCAAGCAACGUGGCUCCGGCUCCGGCUCCGGCUCCUGUAACUGUAAUGUAAGCAGGCAUUGGCCGGCCGGUGGGAGAAGGGCAAGAGGACCCGUGUGGCCGUGUACGUGAAGGCAGUGCAGUAACGGGUAGUAGCUAUAGGUCAACGUAACGUAACGUAACAGCUGUGUUUAGACCGACUGAUGCGCAACUAGCGUCGAGUCAUCAUCAGGCAGGCCUAACUAGGUUAUUAGUAGAUAGCUUGAGCAAAGCAGCUUGUGACAUCUAGAGGGCUCUGCACUCCAAUCAGCGCGUGUGACGUCUCGAGUGUGGGCAACCUGUGCCGGCCGUGCAUGCAUGGCAAGGCAGCACAGCAGAGGCACAGAACAGAUGGGGCAGGUACAGAGACGCUGGCGUACUCUACCCUCGAAAGCCGCCGCGGUCGACGGGGCCAUCCAUGGCGGGGAGCACGGAUGAGAAGGCUCGAGAAGGGGCCAGUGGCUGGCCAGGGGUGCAGGUGCUACUGUUACAGGCGCCGAGACCGGCACGCCAGGCAGGCCCACUCCUUUCACCGCUAGCCGCAAGCGCGACGCACAGCACAAACAGGGCCGCUGCAAGGAGACCUAGCCGCCCGCCCUGGGCCCUCCGGGCCCACCCACCAUUGACUGUUGCAGAUCUGGGAACGAAGAGAACGGACGAGCGAGCCUCGUCUGCGUCCCGGGGGCCCCGGGCUUUGACCGGCAGGGCGCGCGGCGGCGGCGGCCAGGGCCAUUUGCGCCGACACCACCGGGGGACACGGCCGAACCGGCGGGGACGCGCGGAUGAGGACGAGCGGGCGGCCGAGCGGGAGCGGCGGCAAUUUUUAAUUUGACGCGAGUGCGAUGCGGAGAAUGAAGCCAGCCAGCGCGCCCCCGCCGCGAUGAUUGGGGAUGGCCGGGCGGCCGGCUCGAAUCCGGGACUAGGCGAGCGCAGCCAGCGCGUGGAUGGUGGGGAAGCCGACAGCUCGACGACGGGGACGGACGGGGCUCUCCCCUCCAUCCAUGUGGGCUGUGGCCCAUGCCCGAGCCUGCUGCUCAUCAUCAGCAAACGGCGAAGCUGCGCGCACACUUCCCGGCCCCGGGGGACACGCCGUCAGCGGCCUAGUACUAUGUAUACCUAUCAUUCAGCACGUAGUUUCAAAUAGAAAAUAGAAAAAAAAUCAUUCAGCGCGUAAUUCCUACCUGUAACCAUUUCCUUUUGUCUUCCUUUUCUAAAAACAAACAUUUCCAUUUUGUUUUGGUUGUUAACGGCCCGAUCCCGUCGACCGUCGCGGCCUCAGAUCCAUGGCGCAAAAAGGCUCGCCAUUCUUGAAAGCUGCAGGCAACAGCACGGUCUUACACGGUUUGCAUGCAAGGAUGGAGACGCGGCAAGGAAAGAAAGAAAGCUGCAGGCUAGCGAUCCAGCGCGGUGCUCUACCGAGAACCUAAAUCUACAAUACGCGACAGCCGCGUCUCCAGCCACCCAAGUAUUUAGUUGUCUUCUUAUUUCUAUUUUUCUUCCAUUACAUUCCACAAGUGUGCUAUCAUUUCUUUUUCUUUUCAGGUUUUUUUCUCUCCUUUCACGUUCUAUUACGUGUUGGAGUUCUCUUGUCAACUUUUUUUUAUAUAAAUUGUACUCAGAAGUUGUAUGAUAAACUUGUGCAUAAAAAUAUUAUGUGAGAAAUCUCCCCGAAUAAAGAUAACAUCAUACAAGUUGUGCUGAAAACUUAUCCUUCAUGAUUAUAUGUAUUGCAAAGUUAUGAUGCAAAAUUAUCUCUCAGAAAGUGUGUGUAAAAAGUUAUGCGUAAAAGUUAUAUUUAGAAAUUAUAACUUUUCAAAAGAAAAAAUUGCAGAGAAAAAAAUCUUAUCAAGAAAGGAGACAUACCAGCUGUUGGAGAUGUUCGGUGGGAGCCUAGCGGGACUGGCUACACGAUCCAUCGAGUAAACGACGGUGGUUCCGUGCACAUGGACGACCACCGUAACUCAAAAGUAGAAGAAGUGGGUCAAAUCUAUUUUCAUUCUCCACACCCCUCUAUUCACUCUUUUUAUCUCUUCUCUUGAUAUUUUCCAAACCAUCCUCUCUUUCUUACCUUGCCUUAUCCUCUUCCCUCCUCUCUCCCUCCCCCUCCCUUAUCCUCUUCCAGGGGCGCGGUCGGGGGCCGCACGGCGGGCCAGAGUGGCAGGCCAGGAGCUGCGUGGCCGGCAGGGACAGGCCUGGUGAGCAGCGGUGGCUCGAGCCCGCGGCAAGCAGCGUCGACGGCCAGCUCUGGCGACGACGAUCCUUCUAUCCACUGCGGCGAGCAGCUCUGGGUUUCUUCUCUUUUUUUUUUCAAGUCGUGGGAGGAGUAGCAGUGGAGAUUGGGACAUUGGGUGUUUGCGGUAAUACUGCAGCUAGACAGUUUGAGUUUGCAUGAAAAUAGAGAAGCAUUUGUAUUCUUUCGAUAAUGAAAAUGGAAAUACCUGUAUAAUCUCUUCAUUUUCAGUUAAAUUUUGUGCGGUGGUGUCAUAUCUUCUUCAUUUUCAGUUAAGUUUUGUGCGGGCACAGUUCCUAGCAGCGGUGGUUCCUGGCAGGGGUGGCCAGGGCGCAGCUCCCCGCGGCGGUGAACCGGUGGCCGCAAGCACGGGCACAUGCUUUUUUAUUAUUAUUUUUUAUUAGUGUUGGUUCCGGUUGGUUUUACCAAUCGAGAUUAAAAAUUAUUUUUAUCCCGGUUAUCUCAUCGGGAACGAUCGGAAAUUUUAGUUCUGAAUUAAUGGUCCUGGUUGGAAAAUCGGGAUAACUAAGAUUUCCCAACCGAAACUAAUAGGUAUUUCUGGACCAGUGUCGGGCCUAUUUUCGUGUAACCACGGCGAGCCGGCGAGUCGGGAGAUGGACACGUCCGCAUGGAUAAUAUUGGGGCGAAAAGUGUUCAGAUCUCACCGUCGUGAUCAGAUCCACCUAAAGCACUACGCAUGCAUGCCGUCUCGGUUGACCUUUACUUGCCAGCGGGCAGUGCCGUCCAUGCCGGAACUGUGUCUCCUCCUACUACUAGUGUCUAGCCUCGCCUAACAUUCACUAGCCAUCUCGUGCUCCUCACAUGGCUUCUUAUGAGCAUAACCACUGCUACAAAUGUGGUACUAGCAGGACUGAACUGAUGCCCUCUUUCCGUGAACAGCAAAACGCGGCAACGGUUAAAAAGAAUCUUUCAUUGGUGAUAAAGGAACCCACCUCGGUCCUCAAGAGUUGAGAUUUCUGGGGGCUGAACUUCUUGUUCAGACUUCAGAGUAGAUACGAACCUACCGUGCUCUGAUGGUGCUAAUCCACAGAGCCUGUGUGACGCAACGGAAGCAAGCUAAACGUGCCAGGAAACGGCACAGCAGAGCACAAGUCAAAUGCACAGUAGCGACGGAAAGGGAACGGCAGUGCCAAAAAUUCUCAGUCCAUGCACCCGAAAGUUGAUUUUGCCGUACUGCCGCGGACGAUGAGCAUGGCACUCAGUGGGAAGCAAAUCCUUUGUCCACAAAAUUUCUUCAGUCCGAAGACCAGUAGACCACUGAGGCUGAAGCCCACUCAGUCGGAUGCAGUUUGGUCCAAACACACGGCCGCACAAGUCGCAACACGGACCGAUCGAUAAGGUCGAGAGCCCAUCAGAUUGUCAGUGCAAGUCAUUCGGGCUCAGGGCAGGGGGUAGAGAGAACAUGCCAAAUCUAACCGAUCCUCAGGAUACUCCAUAAGAUUCAUUGUACAGAACUUCCUUUGUCCAAAUCAUGGGAUUUACACUCCUAAUGAAACGUUAAAAAGCUGCUGUUCUGUUACUACUACUGAUCAUGCUCAUUUAGCGUCCAAACCACCACACAAGCUUCAAGCAUUUUAUUUUACCAGAUUACCGCAGGAAGAAAUCCAAGUCCCAAAUUCAAAAAUCUGUAGCAGUGUACCGAGAGUCUCAAGGUCAGGUUGGAUGUUCAUUCAGGAGAUCGAAGUCACUUUGAAGAGACAGCCUUGCUAAUUGCCGUGCACCCAAGCGCGAAUUUUGCUGAAGUGCCUGCUCGCAAGUCCAAAACACGGAAUUCGCGGCGACGGCCCAGUCGGCGCUCGCGCAGUCUCCGAAUGUCCCAGCAGCUCCCAACCCGAGAUAAUGGGUUUGGUACAACAUCAAACUCAAGAUUCAAACGGCCACUAUAUAAGGCGCCAGAUGGAGGAGACCCAGAGGCAGACCAACCAAGCAGUGAAGGGAGCGAAGCAUGAGCACCGCAAGCAUGAGGGCCACUGCCCUCCUCGUCGCUCUUGCCACUGCGCUCGCCUCGUGCUGCGGCGCCUCAUCGCCUCACCACGCCUUCCCGCCGGCAGAAGCACCGGCUCAGGCGCCCAAUGCCGAGGCGCCGCUGACGGGGCACCGUGGCCCCGAGCACGGCAAGUGUCACCGCCAUGAGCUGACGCCGGCGGAACCACCGUCCUACCACGGCUCGCCUGACCACAAGCACCAUGGCCAUCGUGGCCACCAUCGCCGUCACCACCAUGACCAUCACGAAGCUCCGCCAAGCCAUUCCCCUGCUCACCACCCUCCACCGCCCCCUCAUCCCCACGCGCCGCCACCACGUUUUACACCCCCUGGUCACCAUGCGCCGCCACCACGUUAUACACCCCCUGGUCACCAUGCACCACCACCCCAUUUCCCACCCCCUAAACAUCAUUCACCGCCACCGCCUCAUUCUCCGCCCCAGGCUCACCUUGCGCCUCCUCCCCCAGCUCACUACACACCACCGCCUCAGCACUCGCCGUCACCCCCAGCACACCACUCGCCACCCCCGCCUCCAUCCCGCUACCCACCGCAUGUCCCAGCACCUCCACCGCACAAGCAUUCGCCGCCACCUUCUCAUGGCAAGGCACCACCACCACAUGGUCACAGGAAAUUCCCGCCGCCAAUGCGAUCACCGCAUUCAGCUAUAGCACCCUCACCCGCUGAUUACAGUGGCAUCCCACCAUCUGAGCAAGGUCCCAAGCUCCCAUAUCAUGCUGCCCCUAGUAACGCGCCUCUAGCAGGUCAAAAUGGAGCAUCACCUCCGUGGUAUGUUUGAUGCUAGAACCAAGAUAUACACAUACACUUGCCUGAGUUGUUAGUAAGAUUGCGGUUGAACUUUGCACAAGAGAUCAAAAGCUCAAUAGCUACUUCAGAGGGCAGCCUUGCUUUUUCAUUAUACUCUGUUCCCAGUAAGAAGAUUACCGAAUCAAUUAUGUACCUCAUUUUGAAGUCAUGUUGUUCUUGGAGUCCUGUAUCAAAAUGUUUCUCUGUGAUCAGUUGGUAUCUAUGUUAUGAGAUCCAUACUUUACAAAUUAUCCAAUCGUUGAUCUUGUAUGCCUUUAUUCUCCAAUGUUUCAAGUAAAUGUUGUAUAUUCCUUUAAUCUAAUUGAUGACUAAUGAUAGCAUCACCUGAAACAUAACCUUAACUGGCUCCAGUGCAAAAUUUAGAGGUAUGGAAUCCAAUAUCAUACCACAAAAGUUGAUUCAAUCACAGAGCACAAAUACAAACAAAAACUUAUUUCAGAAGAACUAUCUCUCCUCUUUUACAUUAUUUCACUGAAACUCUGUAAGGCUUAGUGAAUUACAGCUCCAUGCUAAAUGUUCUUCCUUCCCGAAAAGGAACAGAGAUGCAGGGAGUGGUCAAGUACGAUUACCAAAGUAGGGAAAAAAAAGUGAACUCACCUGGUGGAUGAUUCCAGCAACAGAAAUCUCACAAAGUGCUGAAUUUUAUAACCUUCUAUAAGAAAUUCACAGCAGAAUUUAGCUUAGUCACUAACAUAACAGAUGAAAGCCCAUAAGGCCAAACUUUAUCAACUAAACUAAUGCAAACUUAAAGUGGCUUGAGAGCAUGACAAACAUAUUGUUACACGAACUAAUAAACCAGUGAACGACUCCUAUGUUAUAUUCUUUCCCGAAAUAGCUAGAUCAAAGCUGAAAAGACAUAAUUGAUGAACUAAUUGUUUACAAAGUUCCUUAAGAGAACAGCAAAGAUAUCGUCAACGGGGCUUAAGCAGCAGGAUCCUAUGUGUUAAAAUGGUGUACCUGCAAAUGGUGUAAUAGUAAUACAUAUCGCUGUGUGUUUAUCAUGUUCGGGGUUGUCUUAUACACCAUAUAAAUCAGGAGGCGAUACUAUAUUAGUAUGUCCUUCGGUAAAUCAUCAUAACAACUUUCCUAAUCAAGAAUGAUCAUCACAACUCACAAGCAUGAAUAAAAACGCAAGAUUCGUUUACUUCUAGAAACACAAACUCUGAAAUAUAUACGUACGCUUAAUGUAAACCCAUGUAACCCCAAACAUCUUAAUGCCACAUUAUUUGGCUAGUCUCGAAAACCAAAGCAUUCACAGAAAAUGACCAUCGACUACAGAAAAAAUGAACGGAGUAACUAAUCAACAGAAUUAGCACUCCAUCUGGCAUUCUGGAUGCGUAAGGAACUAAACCAUUUCGCUGACUGCAUCUCUAAGCACUUGGUGUACUGGUCCACCCAUUUUCACACCAAACCCCUACAUAAGUCUGUCUGGCAUCGUCACUUACAAUUUGCAAAGCCUGACCAAACGUGCACGAAUUUAGCAUCCAUACCCGUUAGGCCCUGUCUGCUACCAUUAAUUAGUAGGAACCAGCACAAGAAGGAAGCCAUACACGCACGGAUCGCAAACUCACACAGGCCCUCACAAAUGCCUAAUCAGACACCACAAGCGCAGGAAGCGCGGUGUACGACGAAGCAAAAUUUAUAGAAGUCGCCUCCAGGGAUCAUCCCGAUCGAGGAGCGAUCGAAAUUCGAACCACCCGCAUAUCCCAAAUUUACCUCGCGAUCACGCAAACUGUGCGCGCAGCAAGGCCCAUCCUCGGUGCUCCGCUCCGGCCUCCGGGCCGCCAAAGCACUAGGAGGGAACGGGCCCGCGCGCCGCCGCCAUCGGCAUCCGAAGCGACAAGAUCAAAGUGGUGGCGCGCCGGAGGUUACUGGAAGAUUCCAGGUGAUCGAGGGGUGGAUGGCGAUUGCAAUUUGUGGGGCGCUACUCGCUCGCUCGCUGCCCUCCUGGCCCUGGGUGAAUUUUGGGCCUCGAGCGAGCAGCAAGUGGCGGGUUCUUUGCUUAUUGGGCUUUUGCCUUUGCCUCUACGGCCCGGUUUGACGAGCCCAUGGUGCGGAGCCAAACUGGCCUACUAGCCAGUGCGGCGGCGGAGCCCCUCCCGGAGGAGCUCUGGAGCCGCCGAGGGGGUCGGCGGUGGCGGAGGAACUCGCGCUCGCGCACAUCCUGCUUCGCGCGGUGAAGGAGCCUGGCGCCGCCGAUGGGAGCCAGGGGCGGGAGGGAGACCGGCACCCUCGCGGCGCGGUACCGCCGCUGCCUAGUCGGUAGCACCAGCCACCCAGCGCCACGCCGGUGAGCUCCCGUGAGCCUCCCAUCGCUUCCUGCUAUGUUCCUCUCUAGGCUGCGUCCUGACGCGUUUUCCCAAGUUUGUUCGAGCAAAGCUUAGCAGGCUAUUAUUGAGGCGCGCGGUGACAGAAGACAGGAUUGUUAUCACGAAUUUAGCCAACUGGCUUUAGGAGGAAUUUAAGACUUCCUGAUUUUUGUGAGAAAAAGCGAUACUUACCCAUCCAAAACAAAAUUAGCUGAAACAGCACUUGUACAUAUUGCAGCUUAGCUGUCCUGAGUGCUAGUGGACUUGGGGUCCUAAGACUAAUUUAGGCCGCCUUCUUAGAUCCCUGGUGGCAAAUUCUAUUGUAGAUACAGGUGAGAAGUGGGAGUGCCAUUUUGAGGCCUAGAUGCCCGAAUUGACUAGCUAUUUCCAACCCCCAGUGGUCAGUGCCAUCUAGUUAAUUGUUGAGUCAAUAAACUUUAGUAAUAAUGCAUGCAGUUCCACCAACCACUAGCAGCACAAAAGUAACCUAUCUAUUGGAUUUCCUCUCCAGAUAAAAAAAACUAUCUAUCGGAUAAGAUCGGGAUCCCUCCAUCGACUAGAUGUCACAUUCGCCUUUACCUUGAUUCAACAUGUUUUUAUCUGUCGUUGGAUGAUCCAAUCAACAAAGGCAUGCAAUCUCUUGAUAUGCAUCAUUAGUUAGACCACUUUGGUCUUUGCAGCUAAUGUAGGUCCCAGAUUUAUGAAAGAUAAGCUAGGUAGAUUGUUCUUCAAUGAACAUUUUGCUAGAAUUUGUAAAGUGGUAUUCAAAAUGUUGUAUUUUAACAAUAAUUAAGGCCUACAAAUGAUGUCAAACUGCUCAGAUAGUAGGCCUGUAUGAGUUAUACCAUAGAUGUGUCUUACAACCAGCUCUCUCCUUCUCCCUACCUUUGUGUGCCUCAUCCGCAGUGAUGAACUUGCGGACCAGAGUUAACACAAAGUGAUAGCACUAUAUUUUACUUGUGUUUGUGAAUCACACAUGAAUAUCCAAAUGAACCCUUCUCUAGAAGUGUGUGUAUGCGCUAUGAAUUCACCCAAUCUAUAUAUAAAGUGUUGUUCUAGUAAUUGCUACAGAUUGGAUAAAGAUGCUAUGAAUGCACCCAAUCAAUAUACAUGUUUAUCUGAUCUCUUAUGGCUUACCUUCAGGGUCUUCUUGAGUAAAGUAUUAGAUUAAAUAAUGCCUUUACUAGGGAAACAAUUUGCAUAUGCAACUAAGAGUUUUUCUUAUUCUGGAUCUACCAUCAAAUGUUGCCUUGGUUUGCACUUUCAUGUUUCAACAGACUCUUGGCUUUCUGUAUGGUAUCUGGUGGCUAGCUCACUGGAGGUGGCAGCAUCAGUGCUAAGCGUAUUUCUCGGUGGCUUGAUUUUGGACGGGCAGGACAUCAGAAAGUGACAAAUGAGGGUGUGCUCUUGCAGAUCUUUUGUGUUCCAUACAGUCCGAAGUCUUUUAUACAUGUUAAUAUUGACGUAAAGACACAGUGUUCCAGAAAACUUCUGUAGUAUGAGAUACCCAACAUUAUUGCCUUUAGCAUCUGCAUUAUAUAUUGCAACUGACUAUGCUUUUCCUUGUCUUGUAGUAGCUUUAUUCCCACCUUGUUGCGAGAUAGAUCUGCGUAUGAAUUUAUCAAUGUCCCCUCUUCCCCUUCUUCUCUCUAUUACCAACUUAUCCUAUCUUCUCUGUCAUUUAGGAGUCGUGUCUAUAGCAAGGAUAGCAUGGUAAUUUUCUCUAUCAUUUAUAGCAAGUAUACAAUGGUAGUUUUCUCUUGUUUUUCACCUUGUUAAUCCUUGUGGCCAUGUUAGGCAAGAAUGCAGGCAAGACAGAAACAGCCAGAUGCAUCCAUGUAAUUGCACAUGUGGAUUUUCCUUAAGCUUUUCUAUGGAUGAACACCGAUCGGUACACAGACCUUUUGUUCUGUUUUUCUUUCUUUUCCCGGUUUAGUUUUAUCACUUUUCGUUGAAUGGAUCUUAUGUCUCCUGCAGACUAACUUAAGAUAAGCAUUGAACCAUGCCUGUAACUUAAGAUUGACUAGAUAGAUCUAAGGCUCCAAAGCAUAAAGUGAUGGGUUGAGAUAAGCUUAAUUAUGGAUAGCCUGGAACAAUCAUAUGACUUACGCGUAGAUGUCUACAACUUCACACUGAAGAGGCAUUAGCAUAAUGGUUCACCAAGGAGUUCUUGUGACAACCAAUUUUCUGCGUAUCCGAAAUUGGAACUAUUGUUAUAUUUUUCACAUUCUACAGAGCUCAUACGACAGCUUUGCUCUGUGCAGGUAGGCAUAAUUAGAAACUAAGAAGAUUAAUCAGAAUUAGUACAGACUGCAGAGGCAGUAUGUUUGGCCAAGAAUUUCAGUGACAACUAUUUGUUCAAAUUGAAAUAAAAAGAGACUAGCUAGGGGAUCCAAGUGAUUUUGUAUUAAGAAGGAAAUAAUCACCCAAUUUUUUUGUGAAAUGGACCCAAAUUUGGGUGGUGAAUAGUCAACAUAUAUUGUGCACACCUGCACCUCCGGCUAACUGAGCAAAUCUUGAUUCCUGGAAAUCAUUGGUUCCUCCACCAUGAUAUUUGCUUCUCAUCAAAGCAACCACAGUCGUUAAGUCCAUAUUCUUUUUUUUAAUGAAACAGGAGGGUUUGCCCCCUACUGGUUAUAUAUUAAUUUUUGGAAAAAGAGGUGAAGAUACAAAUAAAAGAAGCACAAAAAUAAAAACAGAGAGUCGACAUAUCUAAUUUGCAUGCCGCAGAAGUCAUGCUACUUCUCAUUAUCAACAAAUCCAUAUUUAGAAAAAGGUACUUCCUUCAAAUUAUUUUAAUGGAGUGCCCGGGUUAUGUUUAUCCAUAUUACUUAAUCAGUCCUUUCCAUACUACACUGAUCAACGAGGUCAGGUGUCAGCACGUAGUUGGCUACCAGCUAAGCUUAUGGAUGUUGGCACCAUAUGAAAGAAACAUACAGCUUUGUGGAGGAAGCAACACUCAUAGUUUAUAUAAUGCUUCAUAGAUAACAUGUUUAACUUAACUUUUUGUGCCUAAAUUGCUUUUUGUCGACUAACCACUCAUUCAAGGGGUGCUUUACCCAGUAGGAUUGCUGUUGAUGGCCCAGGCAGUUCUAAUCUGACAAAUCAUCCUCCAAUUUGUGAGAUUGCUAUGGUUCACACUAAGUGGUGGGGAUCAAAACAGAGCAACUAGGAAUAAACAUAGAAUUUGUGAGUGCGCAAGGAAUAUGUAGCUGCUCCAUUUCCUUUGCAUUUAAGCUUAGAUGAUUCCUUUUUCAUUUUUUAGUAUUAGGUGCUGUCCUUAUCUUUCUUGUAGCUAGAUGUUAAAUUAUGUCACUGUUGGCUGUAUAUUUUAUUCUAAGUUGUCAUGUUUUCUCCUUGGAUCUGUUAAUGCCUAAACAGUGUAGUUUACACAUGAGUCAAGUGAAAUGAUUAGCUCAUCCAGCAUGUUCGUUUCCUGCAGUUAGGAGUCAUCUUUAUAUAAAAUGAAGAAGAAUUGCACUGAGUUUAUGGCAUUCCUGACUUAGUUCCUGUGAAGUCAUGAAUCCACUAAUAGAGGUCAAAUAGCUGAUUACAGCCAGAAUUUUCACAGCCACACAUAAUGACCCUAUAGCUGGAUAGAAGCCUACAAUAUUUUACAGCCAACCAGCAUAACCUUAGAGCUGGUUUGAAGCGGAUGAAACUGAUGCAGCUACAGACAGUGGUUAGUAUAUAUUUAUCCUAUUCCAGUCGCCAUGCUCCUUUCCCUGAACCAGACAAAUGCGAGUUCCAUUUUAUGCAAUUCUUAUAUCCACGCUUUGCAUAUGUACUUCUUAUACAGUAUUAUCAGGCAGACAAGAGAUGGUGCUGCGUGUGGCCCUCUGAUUCCCAGAGAAACCCACUGAGAUGCAGCCCACUUGCCACAAGCAAAGAAGCUUCCAAUUGCCUUCCAACCUUUACCAAAUGCUUUUUGUCUCAAUUGGCUGGCAGAGAUGAAAGGGGCAAGGGCGAAAGAGGUAGCGUAUCGUACCAAAUAAAAGAAUUCAGUAGCCAUAUUAUUGCAGUCUUUAUGGAGCCUAUAAAUACUUCAGCACAAACCCAGCUUAUGAUUCUACCUGAGGCAGACAAAAGAGAGAGAGCAAACCUACGCAAGAGACAGAGCUACAGAAUUGCACUUGCAGGAUUCUGAAGAAAGCCGGGUUUGUGCCCAAGAAGGACAUGGAGUACCCAAGAAGGACACUACUGCACACUCCAUUCUCUGGGCAUCCCUCUGGCUCGAGCCAUCCAGUUGAUGGAACCGCCGCCACAGAUGGAGGCUCUCCUGGAAGCAACUUCGACGCAAACAUCGUCAUGAUCCUGGCUGUUCUUCUCUGUGCACUGAUCUGCGCGCUCGGGCUCAACUCAAUAGUCCGGUGUGCGCUGCGGUGCUCGAGCCGAGCGGUUGUUGAUCCCGUGCCGAACCCGGUGGCACGUAUGGCUCAGAGCGGGCUGAAGAGGAAGGCCCUCCGAGCCAUGCCGAUCCUGGUCUACUCGACCGGGCUGAAGCUCAAUGCUGCCAACCCGAUGUGUGCGAUCUGUCUCUCCGAUUUUGAGGCUGGAGAGCAUGUCAGGGUCCUCCCCAGGUGCAACCAUGGGUUCCAUGUCAGGUGCAUCGACCGAUGGCUCUUGGCGCGGUCGACGUGCCCGACAUGCCGGCAGUCCUUGUUUGGAUCUCCGCAGAAGGCCUCUGGCUGCUCUGAGUCGAGCUGGGUCGAGCCUGCGCCUGCCCGCUCUGUCCUCGUGCCACUCAGACCUGAAGGUUUGGUCACUCCAUAUGAUUUUUAGUCUCUUCAGUUGCUUCUUUGGUGUUACAUGAAGGACGAGAGGUUGAGAAAAAGUAGAAACAAAAAAUUGUGAUCAUUAGGAUACUGCCAAUCUGGCUUGUACAUUGUUGCUGGAGAAAAAGAAAGAAUUGUACAGAUUUCCUCAGUUUUCUAUUUGUUAUGUUGGUGCCAAUUGUUGAUGGAGAAUGUGCCAUGGAAAAUGCCAGGUUCUCUGGGCCUUUUGUGAAUCACAUUUCCAUGUGAAUUUGCAAAAUGAGACAAAAGAGAGGGACAUGAUUGGCAGGGCUAAUGAUAUGGGCAGUGCCGCACCACCAGUCCAUCGUGGUGAUUGGGGAUCAAGCUUUUUGCAGUUUUGCUGCUAAGGUUCAUGGUUUCAGUGGGGGCAGCAUAUUCUACAGCCAUUAUUGAGAGAUCAGGGGCUGUGCAAUCUGCUGCAAGGCCUUAGUGGCCAUGAAUCAUGUGUGUGUGUGUGCCCCCAGAACUGAGAGAGAGGCUGCCCCACGCCCAACUAAACCUGAUGCACAUUGGCUGGGGUGGCUAUUUCCUUCGUGUGAUGUGCUGCCAACAGGAGACCAGAUUGGCCAGUGAUAGAAGCCCAGGUGACGUGUCCAUCCGCCAUUGCACGAUGCGCAUGUGGUUUUUCGGCUGUUUGCCCUAAAGGCUGAAGCUAGUAGUGCCUCCGGAGAAUCAGCUGUUUCGGCUGUGCUUGUGGUUCUCGUACGAGUUGCUGUGAGAAACAAGAAGAGAAUGUGUUGGCUUGUGCUCGCUGAAAAGGAGGGCUGCCUGGAUGCCCACUCAAGGUAAGAUACGCUAGUCUCUUCAGAGAUGAUAUGGCUUUUUGGCCCGGACAUAAUAUUGCUUCUGUGCUAUUGGGAUAAGGAAAUUCAGUAGUAGUGCUGCUGCCUACUUGAAUGGAUCACUCGCCCAGAUACGCAGUUGCCUCCUGCACAUUUUUUUUUUGUUUUUUGCCUUGUGUGUUUUGGAAAGUGAGCUGGGGCACUGCUGUCGCAGUGACCAGAUUGGAAUCAUUCUCUUGCUGGACGAGAUUUUUACAGCAAGGGCGAAACAAAAAUUUCUAAAGAGUUCGCAGGAAGAGAGAACAUUCUCCAAACGGUAAUCUAGGCUUCAUCAGCGAACAAAAGUUACCUGCUGGGAUGGCACUCGAUCCCUGCAGGUAACUACGCAGUAGGAGCACAGCGCGCCUGCUGGGACCCAAAUCCAAUCGCCAAUGAUGUUUCCGUGUGGCAAUUUUCUGAUGGAACUCGAAAGGUUUCAUCCCCAAAACUCCAAAAGGAGGCGGUUACAGGAUGGGUCAGGUGAGGUCAUGUCACGCGGAAGCAUAAGCUGAUCGGUAGGUGAGUGGGAGUUCAGCAGAGAGAGUUCGUCUGUCUAUCAUGGCAGGCACAAAGACGACCGAUUUAACGUUCGGCGCCCGCUGAUUCUCUCGUUCGACGUGGUCGGCCUCUCUCCGUGUCCAGCACGGCGCGACACGUCUCCUGCAUUUUGGCCAUGACCAGGACUCCAAGCUUCAUGCAGGCAUGAAUGGCCAUUGAUUUUUCUUUUAAAAAACAAAAGCUUCAGGAGUGGGCCGGCCAGUGGGCGCGUGAUCUCCCUCGCUAGUCGCCACUCGGCUCGCGAAGCUACGGAGGAAGGAGGUGAGACCACCGUGUGGGUCCUGCUAUCCGCUCCAUCGCCGCGUCACCCAAUGGCGUAGCAGCAUCACCCGUCACGCGGAUCGGCACCGCCAGGAGCGCCACCCCCACCGUCCAUCCCCAUCCGACGGCUGAAACCCACCGAUCCAGCCUCCCUUCCCUCGCCCCGCCCGCGCCUCCCCCGAAAAUUUCAAGAUCCCGCCUCCACCGCUCGCUUCAAAUACCCCGCCCCACGCCGCAGCAGCUCGCAUUCGCAAUCCAAGUUACCGAUCCGCCGGACCCUCCCCGCCUCCUCGCGCCGCCCGUCCCCCGCCCCGCUCCGAUGGCCCGCACGAAGCAGACGGCGCGCAAGUCGACCGGCGGCAAGGCUCCGAGGAAGCAGCUGGCCACCAAGGCCGCCCGCAAGUCGGCGCCGGCCACCGGCGGCGUGAAGAAGCCCCACCGCUUCCGCCCCGGCACCGUCGCGCUCCGCGAGAUCCGCAAGUACCAGAAGAGCACGGAGCUUCUCAUCCGCAAGCUCCCCUUCCAGCGGCUGGUGCGGGAGAUCGCGCAGGACUUCAAGACGGAUCUCCGGUUCCAGUCGUCCGCCGUGGCGGCGCUGCAGGAGGCCGCGGAGGCGUACCUGGUGGGGCUCUUCGAGGACACCAACCUGUGCGCCAUCCACGCCAAGAGGGUCACCAUCAUGCCCAAGGACAUCCAGCUUGCGCGCCGCAUCAGGGGCGAGAGGGCGUGAUCGCCUCUGCUGCUGCAUGGUCGUCACAGCGCUAGAACUAGAUGGGGGGAUUUUGUUUCUUGCCGUGCUGUCUUGUAGUAAUGUUCUGGAUGGGUUGGCCGCACUGCAAUGGGACGUGAUUGCUAGUUUCUGAAAAUUUCUGAAUGUCUCUGUUCUUGGGAGAUAUGCUGCCUGUUCUUUGUGAUUAACGUGUUGAUUUAGCUUGAAAGAGUAAAUCUGCGGGAGAUGGUUUUAGCAUUACGUGCCUGCAGAUUGAAUUGUGCCUGUUGCGUAUGUUUCCCCCCUUCUGUUUGCUUUAAAGGCUGGAGUUACUGCAAAUGUGGUUGCAGAAUCAACGAGCUUAACUGUGCUCUUCUCGUUCUCAUGAGUUGCCAACGCAAGCAGUAUGAUAAUAUUGGCUUGUGAAAACGAAAACUGCCGGGAUGCCCACAUAUGAUUGUAUCCUUAGAGAUGAUGGGGGUAGACAUCUCACUAUGAUAGUGUUUAUGCAUUAAUCCGGUACGGUGGUAUGUAAUAAUAGUGUUUAUGUAUCCAUCAGCAGAAACCUGACAGCUACAUUGCCGCUCCAUUCAGGUUGGAGUAACUUCAUCUCUACAGGUAACAAUAUCAUAGAAAUUUCUAAAAUGAAAAAUGAACUCUCGAAACAGUGUUUCUAGACUGAAACAAUUGAGAGAUGAGGGGAACUAACACAUAGAACCUGAUGCAAUCGAGCUUGUAAUUGCGGUUUUAUUAUAUUCCAGACAGUUUCAACCGUGACAUAUAUCUCGAUUGUUUGCAAAGGAAAAAAGAAAGAUAUGGAUUCUGUUUACUCCCCUAAUUUGAUCCAAACGCUUGAUUAAAUUCCAUGUAUAUAGUGCCAGACUAUGUAGAAGCAUUUCACUAAAAUGAAAACUACGAUGAAACUUGAAGCUAACAAUCCAAUAAUGUUUCCGUGUUGCAUUUUUCUCAAGCACCUCAAAGGUCAACAUCCCAGAAGGCCACAAGGGGCUGUGAGAAGAGCAAGUAACUACCUAGAUAGCACGGGGAGAAACAAAUCCCCCAUCUAGUUACAUGACUUGAUGGUGAUGGAGGAUGUUACAUCAGUCACCUGGAUGCCUGCCACGAUUUAACAUCCUCCACUCUUCUGUUUAUGCGUUUCAGGGAGGAAUGGAUACAGGGCGAGCUGCAGAAUUGGUUUCAGCGUUAUGUGCCUGCAGAAUUGAUUGUGCCUGUGGCCUAUGUUUUUUCCCUUCUGUUUGCUUUAUAGGUUACAGUUACUGCAAAUGCAGUUGCAGAAUCAACGAGGUUAACUGUGCUCUUCUUGUUCGCAUGAGUUGCCAACGAAAGCAGUAUGAUAAUGUUGGUAUGUGAAAACGAAGACUGAGGGGAUGCCCAGAUAUGAAUAUGAUUGUAUCCUUAGAGAUGAUGGGCCAGACAUCUCACUAUGAUAGUGUUUAUGCAUUAAUCCGGUAUCUAAUAAUAGUGUUUAUGUAUGCACCAGCACAAAUCUGACAACUACAUUGCCGCUCCAUUCAGGUUAGAAUAACUUCAUCUCUAUCGGUAACAAUAUCAUAGAAAUUUCUAUAAGGGCCCGUUUGGAUGUGAAUCACAUUCUAGCAAUUUCAUUCAAUAGGAAAUGAAUCUCUAGAAUAUGACUCAAUUCAAUUUUCCUGUUUGGAUAAAACUAGAAAUAUUUUCCUAGAAUUGAUAUUUGGCUGUAUUGAAAUAUAGAAUUUGUUCUUUGUACAAAUAAUCUCUCUCUCAAACACACCCUUCUCACAAUUUACUCUCUCCUCUCUCUCACGCACACCUGUUACAAACAACACACAUCUCAAGUAACAGGACAGGAGCUGUGAACGGAACAACAUAACAUGAGACUACCAGAACUACCAGGACAUCACUGCACGCUAGAAUAACAGCUGUGGACAGCAGCACAACCAUCACACAUGUUUGGAAUUCAGCCAUCAGUAUCCAUCCUCCUCCUGUGUGCUGUGGACAGUAAUGCACUGCGCCACUACAACAUGCCAGCCGGUUGCUUUGCUUCGCCAAGGAGGUAAAGGAAUGGCGUAACUCCUUGACACUGGGUAAAGCUCAGCAUCAGUAGCGCCGGACACAGCUAAUUGCUGCCUGCCUCACUAACGCGCGCCCAACUGUAACAUCACGCCAGUCUCGUGUAUAAAUACGCACGGAAUCCAUGGUCACACCAGGUUCAGAUUCGGAUGCCGGCUGGGUUAAUAAGCUCUAGCAACACACUAGGCAGUAGAUUAAUACAGUGGUCGCUAGUGCUAGAGGAAUCGAUCGGAGUUUCGGCAGGCAACCAUCGAGGAGGAGGGACUUGGCACGAUCGAGCAGGUGAGGCGAUGGCGGCACGGAUGGUCGUCGGAGUGGCCGUGGCCCUAUAGACAUUUGCAAAAGACAUGUUUUAGCUUCAUGAAACAACAAUCUUAACAAGUCGGUCAUGACCACAUAAGUGAUAAAUCUGUUAUCAAGCAAUCAAUACUUGUUCAACUAGAUGUUCUACAAAUAAUAUUUUCUACAGUUAAAAGUUAGCACAUUAGGUAGCAACUACAAUUUAAGAUAGCAAAGACUUUACCACUAGUCACUGCAGCUAUUAUACACUAGUCCAUAAAAGGCAAAAACUUAUGCAAAGAAUCUGUAGCAGCCAUGUUUUAGGUACUUUAUGCAAAGAAUUCACCACCACCACCACCAACAACUUAGCCUUUUUUCCCAAGCAAGUAGGGGUAGGUUAGAGAUAAGACGCACAGAAAACAAGAAUAAGAAACACAAAAAGGGUACAAGCUAAAGGAAGAGUUAGGGGUUAAACAAAAAAUAACAAAGGUCACGGUUCAGGUACGUUAAUUGCUAAUCUCCAAGCGCUCCGAUCCAUAACUAAUUUCUUAGCGAUAUUCCACUCCUUAAGAUAUCUCUUGACCGUCUCGUCCCAAGUUAGUCUAAGUCUACAUCUACCUCUCCUUACAUUAUCGCCCCACUUUAAAACUCCACUACGCACCGGCGCCUCGGGAGGCCUCCAUUGUACAUGUCCAAACCAUCUCAACCGAUGUUGAAUCAACUUCUCCUCGAUAGGUGCCACCCCGACCCUAUCUCGAAUCUCUUCGAUCCGGACUCUAUCCCUUCUUGUAUGCCCGCAGAACCAACGCAGCAUACGCAUCUCUGCUACACUCAGUUGCUGGACAUGUCGCCUUUUUGUAGGCCAACAUUCAGCACCGUAUAGCAUCGCCGGGAGAAUCGCCGUCCUAUAGAACUAAUCUUUUAGCCUCUGUGGCACCUUCUUGUCACAGAGGACGCCAGAAGCCUGCCGCCACUUCAACCAACCGGCUGAAAUUCUAUGCCUAACAUUUUCAUCAAUGUCUCCAUCUUUCUGAAGCAUUGAUCCUAAAUACCAAAAAGUAUCCUUCUUGACCACCACUUGGCCUUCGAGGCUAACGUCCCCAUCCUCAUGCCUAGUCGGGCUAAAGUCGCACAUCAUAUACUCGGUCUUGGUCCUACUCAGUCUGAACUCCCUCGACUCUAAUGUGUGUCUCCACAGCUCCAACUUCAUAUUAACCCCUGCCCUACUCUCGUCAACUAGCACCACAUCAUCAGCAAAGAGCAUACACCAAGGGAUAUCACCCUGUAUGUCCCUUGUGUCCUCAUCCAUCACCAAAGCAAAUAGAUAAGGGCUCAAUGCUUACCCCUGAUGUAGUUCUAUUUUAAUUGGAAAGUCACUGGUAUCGCCAUCACAUGUUCGAACAUAAGUCAUCGCAUCCUUGUACAUAUCCUUGAUGAGGGUAAUAUACUUAGUUGGGAUUUUGUAUUUUUCCAAGGCCCACCACAUGACGUCUCUCGGUACUUUGUCAUACGCCUUCUCUAGGUCAAUAAAGACCAUGUGUAAGUCCUUCUUCUCCUCUCUAUAUCUCCCCAUCAACUGUCGUACUAAGAAAAUCGCCUCCAUGGUCGACCUCCCAGGCAUGAACCCAAACUGGUUUUGGGUUACCCUUGUCAAUCUUCUUAGGCGAUGCUCGAUAACCCUCUCCCAAAGCUUCAUCGUAUGGCUCAUCAGCUUAAUCCCCCGGUAGUUAGUACAACUUUGAACAUCUCCCUUAUUCUUGAAGAUCGGUACUAAUAUACUUCUCCUCCAUUCCUCCGGCAUCUUGUUUGACCGGAAAAUUAGGUUAAAAAGCUUAGUUAACCAUACUACUGCCCUCUCGCCCAGGCAUCUCCACACCUCAAUGGGGAUGCCAUUAGGACCCAUCGCUUUACCUCCCUUCAUCCUCUUCAAAGCCUCCCCGAUCUCUGCCUCCUGAAUCUUCCUCACAAAGCGUCUGUUGGUAUCAUCAGAUGAGUCGUCCAACUCGAAGGUAGGACUCUCAUUUUCCCCAUUAAACAACUUAUCGAAGUAUUCUCGCCAUCUGUCCUUGAUCUCCUCAUCCUUCACCAGAAGUCGAUCUAUCCCAUCCUUGAUGCAUUUGAUUUGGUUUAUGUCCCUUGUCUUUCUCUCACGGGUCCUAUCGAUCCUAUAAAUGUCCUUAUCUCCUUCCUUCGUACCUAGCCGUUGAUAAAGGUCAUCAAAAGGCUAACCUUUCGCUACACUUACAGCUCGCUUUGCAGACCUCUUCGCUAAUCUAUAGCCCUCGAUGUUGGCUGCGCUCUUGUCGAGGUGAAGGCGUUUGAAACACUCCUUCUUCUCCUUAAUAGCCCUUUGCACCACGUCAUUCCACCACCAAGUCGCUUUCACUUCCUGCUUGCCUCCCCUACUCACACCAAACACUUCUGAGGCCACCUUCCGAACACAUGUCGCCAUCUUUAGCCACAUAUCAUCUACAUCUGUUCCUUCUUCCCAAGGCCCCUCGCCUAGCAUCCUCUCCUUAAACGUUUGUGCCUCUUCCCCUCUAAGCUUCCACCACUUCGUUCUCGCAAUCUUGGCACGUUUGUCCCGGUGGGCACGUACCCAAAAACGAAAAUCCGCCACCACAAGCUUGUGUUAGGGGACAACACACUCCCCAGGUAUCACCUUACAAUCUAAGCAUGCACGUCUAUCCUCUCUCCUAGCAAGGAUAAAAUCGAUUUGGCUCGAGUAUUGUCCACUAUGGAAAGUCACUAGAUGGGACUCGCUCUUUCUAAAGAGGGUAUUCGCUAACAACAGGUCAUAGGCCACCGCAAAAUUCAAAACAUCCUCCCCCCCUCGUUCCUACUACCAUACCUGAAACCCCCGUGUACUCGCUCAUAUCCUACAUUAGUCGCUCCCACAUGGCCAUUGAGAUCUCCUCCUAUGAAGAGCUUCUCACUGAUAGGCACGGUACUAACCAUACUAUCAAGGUCUUCUCAAAACUGACUCUUGGAGCUCUCACUAAGACCUACUUGAGGGGCAUAGGCACUGAUCACAUUCAGAACCAAAUCUCCAAUGACCAACCGCACUAGGAUAAUCCGGUCGCCUUGCCUCCUAACAUCUACAACUCCAUCCUUAAGGCUCUUAUCGAUCAAGAUGCCUACACCAUUCCUACCCGAAGUUGUCCCCGUGUACCAGAGCUUGAAGCCAGAACCCUCCACCUCCUUCGCCUUCUGGCCCUUCCAUUUAGUCUCCUGCAUGCAUAGAAUAUUUACACGCCUCCUAAUUGCUAUAUCGACUAGUUCUCUUAACUUACCUGUUAGAGACCUUACGUUCCAACUACCUAAACGAAUCCUAGUUGGCUCGGGUAGCUUUCUUACCCUUCGCACCCGUCGAGAGAAAUGCGAAGACCCUUGCUCAUUUUUCACUACACCCGGGCGCAGAUGUAGCGUGCCACAGAGGCUGCGACGACCCGACCCUUGCUCACUUAUCAUCGUACCCGGAUCACGAUACGACGCGCCCCUGAGGGGAUGACGACCCGGCCCAUGCCCAUUUAGCACCACACCCUGGUUCCGAUGUAGCGCGUCGCUAAGAGGGUUACGCCCCAACGAAUUUCUUAUGGAUUUUAUUUCCAUUUGAGUGGCUGAUUUUUUACGCUGGUUCGCCAGACCUAACACAACCCUCCACAUUUUCUCAUCGCGAGCUUGGAACCGGCAAAGGCAGUGUUAUGCAAAGAAUUCACCAUGCUGAAAAAAAAGAGAUGACUAUUGGCUAUCACAAAUGAAUUAUAUACUAGUGUUAUAAGCUGGAAUAUCUGAACCUCUACUACUAUCUGAACAUCUACUCCUAUCUGGCCAUCACAAAAUUAAGGAUACAGCAGUAAACAAGGCUAAAGAAAUACUUUAGUAUCAACCUAUCACUCUUAUUAUUUAUACCAAUCACUAGAAACGAUUGAGUGGUUAGUUAAACCAUGACCGCUGUAUGAACUAUACCAAUAUAUUCAAAUCAGUAAAGAUAAAUUGUAGCAUGGAAUUUUACUGAUCAAGAGCAAAGAACAGAGCAUCACUAGAACUACUAGGUUUUUUCCUGAAACCAGCAGCUAAGCCUAAGCUAAACCCUAUCACUAGAAGCAAUUAAGUAAGACUCUUCAAUAAGUAGCAAAGAACAGUUAUUUCAAAAAGUAAGAACAGAGCAAGUCAUACAAGUCACAACUCACAACUGAUGAUCUUAGACUCAUACCAAGAUUCAUAAAGAGAAAAGAAUUGUUUGGAAAACAAAUGCAACAAACUUUAAUCUAUAAAAUGUGUCAAUCAAGUUAUUAAUUUGUCAACUUAAAUCUGAUAUGACAAUUAAACUAAGCCACCACCCCUUGCUAGGGUAGUCAAGUAGAGGCCACGAUAGUUUGCGUAGGCAUUCGAUGGCAAUGAAACCUUCUAUCACAGCUAGGUUCUGGCUACCCAAAUCAAACUGAAGGAUGCGAAACUGACUGCCAAACAAGUAAGAAUUGACCCGUACAGUUACCUAGCAAGCACAGAUGACCAACGACCUACAAGAAAAACAUCGAUGCCCUAGAACAAAUCAUGCCCAGAUCGAUCCUACAAGAAAAAAAAAA
rnacentral:lncRNA from 1 species